CGAGGUGACGAGUACAUACUCAUGCUAUAUGUGCAAAAUUUAUUGAGUUAAAGUCUUGGGCAUAUUGUGUAGUAAAUUGGAUAAUUGUUGGCAUUUAUUUAAUCAUCUGUUUGCCAUGCCGCAUAUAUUGAAUUUAUUUUUAUAUGACGAUUUGAUGUGAAUGUUACCUGUAUAUUUAUGUGAAUUCUGUGAGUUUGAUGGUUUGAAAUUUUUGAAAUUUAAUUUCAUUAUGGAUUUUUCCUUUGCAAAUAAUUAAUUAAACGAGCUUAAGAAGAAGUGUUAAUAUAAUUAUCAAAAUUUGGAUUAAUGAUGGAGUUGCCCUAUGCUGAUUAUUUUCUAGCUCUGUUAAUUAUUUUUGAGGUUUUAUAUACAUUGUGUGGAGCUUUGAGCUAUUUGUUAUGAAAUUAUAUGAUUUGUUAUAUCUUUGGAAUUGGUUGUCUCCAUUGGAAAAAUUGUGAUAUGAAUUGAUUUUUGUUAUGUUGUCGUGAUAAUACUUCGUGUAAAUUGUUGAGUUAUUAUUUUGAGGAUAUAAGGGUGGCAUUCUACUGUUGACAUUAUGUGGGUAUAAGGGUGGUGGCAUUUCACUGUUAUUAUGUGUGUUGGGAUAUUAUCUGGGCGAAGUGAUAAGGGUGGCUAUAAAAGAGAUAAGGGAGGCUUUAUGAGCGAUAAGUGUGGCUAUUGAUAUUGUAAGGGCGGAGGGAUAAGGGAGGCUAUUACAGGAGUGAUAAGGGUGGCUAUAGGAGAGAUAAGAGUGGCUAUUGUCAGAGAUGAUAUGUGAUGAUGUGGAGUUAUUGUGUUGGUAAUUUUCAUGUGAUGUUAGGGUAUUCCUUGUGUUUAUUUUUAUAUCUUGUGCAACUUAUUUUGUUGUUUCGGUAAACUUGAUAAUAGUAUGAUUUAUGUUGAAAUUGUAAGUGUGUGGCUAUUGCCGGACAGGUAAUGUUAUAUGGGAUCAGGUUGCACGCCGCAACGGAUAUGAAAUGUGGGCACGAGGUACCGAGAAAAAUAUGAUGGUUUUAUUAUUGGCACGUGAACUAUUCGUGCAGCUGUGAUAUGAAAAGUGGGCACGAGGUGCCGAGGAAAUAUGAUAAUUUAAUUAUGGGCACGAAGUGCCGUGAAAAUAUGAUAGUGGGUUGAGACCCGUGUUUACGAAAAAUAUGAAAAAGGGCUGAGACCCGUAUUUUUAUGAUUAUGAAAUGGGGUGUCACAUGGUGACUUUUAAUUGAAAGAAUUAUAUUCAAAAUAUUAUAUUUGAAAAAGAUUUAUUGAAAGAAUUAUAUUUGAAAGAUACUUAUUUGAGAAAAUUAUAUUUGAAAGAGAUUUAUUGAAAGAAUUAUAUUUGAAAGAUAUUUAUUUGAGGAAAUUAUAUUUGAAAGAGAGUUAUUUGGAAGAAUUAUAUGUGAAAAAUAUUUAUUUGAAGGGAGUAUAUUCUAAAUAUAUUUCUUGAAAAGUAUUAUAUCCUGAAGAGUGUUAUUUGAGAAGCAUACAGACGAAAUAUUUAUAUUUGAAGGACUUGAUUUAAUUGGGUGUACUUGUAUUUAUUAUUUAUUGAGCAAUAUGAAUGGUGUUCUUAUUGCCCUGCUGUGCAUAUCACUGAUUGAUUUGUGUUGCCCUUAUUGUUAUUUGUUUCCUAUUAUUUUUGUAUACUAUUUUGCACAGGUUAUUAGACUAGUGAGUGUCUCGACUGUACCUCGUCACUACUCCACUAAGGUUAGUCUUGAUACUUAUUGGGUAUCUACCGUGGUGUACUCAUACUACAGUUCUGCACAUUUUUGUACAGAACCAGGUAUUUGAGCUAUCGGACUCGGACAAAGUUAAAGUGUGAUCGCAAUGAUUCAAGGUAGAGCUUCUUGGUCGUCGCAGUCCCUUGAUGUCUUUUCAUUUUAUUGUAAUGUUAACUAUUAAUCAAACAGUAUUGAGUAUUCGAUCCUUGAGAUCAUUUCAUGUAUUCAGUUAGAGUUCAUGACGCAGUAUUACCAGUCUUGGCAGGUUUUUCAUAUUUUUUUCCUCUAUUGAUUUUUGGCACCUGUAUUGAAUUUAAAAAAAAAUGGCGUGAAAUGUAAAUGUGCUUGGCUUAUCUAGUCUUAGAGACUAAUGUGNNNNNNNNNNNNNNNNNNNNNNNNNAUUCGAUCCUUGAGAUCAUUUCAUGUAUUCAGUCAGAGUUCAUGACGCAGUAUUACCAGUCUUGGCAGGUUUUUCUAUAUUUUUUUCCUUCUAUUGAUUUUUGGUCACCUGUAUUGAAUUUAAAAAAAAUUAAGGCGUGAAAUGUAAAUGUGCUUGGCUUAUCUAGUCUUAGAGACUAAGUGCCAUCACGAUACCUGUGGUGGAAUUUUGGGUCGUGACAAAUUGGUAUCAGAGCUCUAUAUUCAUAGGUUCUAUGAGUCACGAACGAGUCUAGUAGAGUCUUGCGGAUCGGUACGGAGACGUCUGUACUUAUCUUCGAGAGGCUACAGAACUGUUAGGAAAUUUCCACUUCUUUUAUUUCUGUAAAGCGAAAUUUGUUGAUUUUGGAAUUUGAGCAUUUGUAUCUCUAUUCUCUCAUAAAUGGUGAGGACACGUGCUACUGGGUUAGCUGAGCAACCCCUCGUGCAUACUGCUAGAGCCGCAAGAGGUCGGGGCCGACGUAGAGGCUGAGCAAGGGCAAGUGUCACAGCUAGAGCACCUGUUAGAGUAACAAUUGAGGAGCCGCCAGUAGCUCCGGUCGUGGGACAGGUACCGGAAGCAUAUGUUGUUACCCAAGGAUUUCAAGAGACUUUAGCAUAGUUCCUGAACAUGUUUGGUAUAUUAACUCAAGCAGGGUUGAUCUCCGUUGCACCAAAUAUUUCACAGAUUGGGGGAAGAGUGUUGAUACCCAAUUUUGUCAUCAUAUUUUCUCAAAAAUAUAUAUACUUUCAAAACAUCAUUUUUACAUUAUUAUUUAGUUUACAAAUCUAUACAAUCAUUUUUCUAUAAUUUCCUAUAAUUGUUAGAACAUAAAAUGAUUUUUCUAUAUUUAAAUUGCUUGAAUAUUUAUUAAUUACCCCUUUAAAUUAUUUUAUGAUGACUUAACUACUUAAAGUUAUUAUUUUUUCACCUAUAAUACGUGUUUCAAAUAUUUUACUUCAUUUUAUGUAAUUACAUUAAUACUUUUAAGCGAUUUGAGAAAUUUUGCAGUAAUAGCAUAUAUUUGUACAGAAACACUUUUUAUUUAUAUUAUUUGUGUCAAAAUAGAAUUUUAUAUUUUUAUAAUACAUAGUUAUUAUUUUUAAGCAUUUCAGUGUAUAAGUAAUAUUUUUACUUUUUUGUCAAGCAUUUUUAUAAAUUAUUUUCAUAUAUUUAAAUAAUAGCCUAACUUUAAACUAAUUUUUGAACCAAAUUGGCCCAAUAUCCUUAGCCCAAACCAGCCGACCCUUGUAUAAUACCCGGUCGGUACCCGUUUUUAUGACCCGCCCCGUUUGUUUUUGAAUCCCAGCCGUUGAUCUCUCAAGAUCAAUGGUCUUCGUUCACUUUCCUUCUUUAAUUAACCAAACCCGUCCAAACCCUAUCAUUUCUCUUACCCCGCCGCUCCUAAAUCCUCUCUACUCUCUCUUCUUCUCUAAGAAACCCUAGCCGCUGUAUCACUCAACUUCUCCAAAUUCGGCUCUAAAAUGGAAUCAAUCACUGAUUCACUUACCUUAUUGGUCUCCUCUCACUACUGGUUGUCCGUCUGUGGUGUUACCUAAGUGCUUACCUAAAUAUGGCAAGCAAUAAUCUCCAAAAUCGAACAAAAAAGGGGUUCGAAUCUUUGAUUUGGAGCACUGUUUUGUCUACAUACGUUUAACACUGUAUUAUGUGAGUCCGAUUUCGUUUUAAUUUCUGUGAUUUACACUUUCCCUAAAAAAAACUAGGGUUUACUGGAUUUCUCUCCUAAAUUGAUUUUUGAACUGAUUUUGCAUGCCUUCUUUCCUUAUUCUAUGAUUGAUUUAUUUUGUUUUCUUGUUUGUUCGUUCAAUUUUUACUACUAUAUAAACCCUCCCCCAUUCCUCUUUUAGGACAGACUUGAAUUGGCAUAUUUUCACUAACAAAUUGAGGCUUUGUUAUGCUAUUCUCUUGUUCUGUAUUCUGGUUUUGGCCGGCUGAAAGCCAAGGCCACUAAGACUCUGUUAUUCAAUCUUUUCUCGGUACGAGCAUUGCCCAGAGUUCUUUCGAAGCUCCUGGGAACUUUGACGCAUUGAGAUUUUGGGUUCUUGUUGAAUUUUUGCUCUUUAGUGUUAUUCAUUUAACUGGUAAGUUACUGGACUUCUGCAAUUUCAUUCUUAUGUGUCUGUGAUUCGCAUACGUUCUCACUUCUAAAAUUCAUAGCUUAAUAUGUUUCUGGACUGCCCUUGUGUGCAAUUCUUCUAGUUUUACCUCAGGUUUAGGUCUCUUUAGUAUUUAAUUUCACAUAAUGUGGCUACUCUGAAAUAUGCUUUUGCCUAAUUUGAGCAAUUUAGAUUCUCUUAAAUCCGUUUAGCCAAUGUGUUUUGAACUACUGUCGUGUGACCUUUGCACUAGCUAGCAUCUCUUUAGUGUUUAGUUUUGCUUAAAAUGUCAAUUCUGUCAUUUGAAUAUGCUUCAUCUACAUAAUUUGUACUUUCUUUAGUUAAUUAGUCUAUUGUAUCCAAAACAUGAAUGUUUACAUUUACUAUCUGACAUGAGCUUGUUUUCUCAUUUUAUUCUGAAUCUUUGUAAUGGUAAUCUUGCCAUGUAGUAUGUUUUAAGUCUGUGUUAAAAUCCUUCACUACCAACCAUGACUAGUUCCUUGUUAAUAUGUCCCUCAGCAUGUUUUUGGCUCUUUUGAUCCACCAGUAAUUGUCAUAAUCUGUGUUGCCCCAUCAUGUCUAAUACAGUUCUGUUGUAUGAUAUGAAAUUAACAUGCCUAUUUUAUGACACUAGGAUAUAUACUUAGCAUAAUUUGGACCUUUAGGUUUUCACCUGUUUGGUAUCGGGCAUCUAUGCAUGAUAAUCUUUGUCAAUCGUGCAAACUUGUUCUUUCCUUAACUCUGCCAAUAUGUGACUGCCUAUGUGCUAUGUGUCGAACCUGCUUCUAAAUCUUUACUAAACUUGCUUUUAAAUCCUAUGACAUGUUCAAUUAUCUGCUCUAUAUGCUCAACUUGUCCAUGUCUGUUUUAAGUUAUAAUUGUAUCCCUCAAUUGCUGUCUCUCAACCUAGGUCCACUCUCCUUCACUUGUUAACUAUGCUCUCUUAAAUUUCUCAUUCUUAGUCAGUAGAAAGCCAAGGCUACCUAGGCUUUACUGCUGACCUCCCUAGUGUGAGCACUGCUCGGGGUCCAUUUGAGGCAUUCUCUGAAACUUAAACUACCCCCAUUCAACCCCUUUCUUCCUAUUUUCUGUUGUACAUCUAAGUCAGUUGGUUUAAAUGAUGCAAUUCUUGGAAAUAUGGUUAUAUGAAUUGACUUUGGGCUCCUCUAUGGAUUCUGAGGUUGUGUUGAAGAAUACGGCUCCUUAUUAGAAGUCUGGGUAUGCUGUGUGAGAAUUGCUGAAGGCCCAGACAGUGCUGGGUAUUUCAUUUGAGCCUGUUGUGGGCCUAUUAUCAUUAUUUGUAUAACAGUUGUAUCAUACUCAUUAAUGGGCAUGUAAUAACUUUGUAUAAAUGAUUGGGGUGUUAGUAAAAUGGGGAAUGGGUAGAUUUCUAAUAUUUGCAUGCCAAAUGGGUAGACGACAUGCCUAUAGGACUUAUUGAAUCACUUGCUAUAUGUGCCGUUCAAUUUAUAUGUGCACUGUAGAAACCAUGUCAUUAGGAUAAACACACACACACACACACACAUUGUCUGUUGGCAAACAUGUAUUCAAAUGCUGCAAUUAUUCUUAUUGCUACGUGUUACUAGAAAACCUGCCUAUAGGAACAAAUGUCAAUGAACUUUCUUUCAAUUCAUUUCAGCAUAUUCAUUAAAAAUCAUGCCUAUAGGAUUUUGAUCACCUCAUUUGCUAUUAUCUCAUACUGUUCACUACAAACCAUGCAUAUAGGAUUUUAAUCAUCUCAUUCGUUACUGCAUCGCAGUGUUCACCUAGAAAACAUAUCUAUUGGGUUGAGUGUAAUGAUAAAAUCAGCUCCAAGUGCUAAACAUUAGAGAUCCUGUCUAUAGGACAACACUGUUUCGUCUUAAUAAGAGUCAAUGUUGCACCUCUCAAUAUGGUUUAUUAUGCACUUCUGGGAUCUUCCCAAUGGUUCUUUCAUUAUUCCUUACUGCACGAGUCACCUAGACACAGCAGGCUUAAUAACCAUAAAUCUGCAAUUUCAUUAAUCAACCUGCAAAUCGUAUAAUCCUAUUUAUGAGCAACGCUUGGCCUUUGAAACUGUUUGCAAGCCCUGAUGCCUUGUCAUGUAGAAAUCAUGCCUAUAGGGAUUUAAGUUUCUUAAUUCUAACUUGCUUAACAUGUAGUUUGUCUUGCAUGCAUUUGUUGCUUAAGUGUGGAGGCAAACUUGAACCUUAACUGCAUAUAUGUGAAGUCCAAUGUGCUUUUGUAUAUCGCCUAGUUUUGACAUUUCUGAGCAGCCUAAGUGAGGUCUAGAACCAUCCAAAUAGAGGUCCAAAACCUCCUGGACCAUAGGUAUGGGAUGGGUAGUGCACAUGUAUGGUACAACUUAGAAUUAAAUUAGAGCGCUCUUAGGUAAACAGUUUUAACAUAGUAAUCGGGUAGCAGGAGAUGAUAGUCUCUGCCCGCUAGAUAAUGUGAGUAACACCCUAUCUCAAGAGCGUUACGAAAUAUAAUUUAUGUUGCACGGGGUGAUCCUUUAGGCUAAAAAACUUAGGACCCCCCUCCCCCCUUUCUUUCUUUUCUAUUAGAAUGAAAAAAUAGCUGCACCUCCCUAUUCAAGAUCUCUUUGUAAUAAAAUUCUUAGAUUUUGUACUGUCUUUGCUUACUUGAUCACAUAGACUAAUCCAUAUAAUUUAAGUUUGGCCGGGACCCAUAGUUGUGGACCUCGAGGUGUGCCUAACACCUUCUCUUUGAGGUAACUUGAGCCCUUACCCGAUCUUUGGUGGCGUUGACUAGUUAAAACAUAGUNNNNNNNNNNNNNNNNNNNNNNNGUCAUUUGCAAAUAGGUUCCCUAACACACCUUAGAAAUCGUUAGGUGGCGACUCUUCUCUUUUAAUACCUUCUUAGAGUUGUCACAUGUCGAAGCCCGAUUUUGCGAGCAAAAUAGGGGAGCGACAGCAUGGCGACUCUGCCGGGGAAUUACACUUAGGCUCUUACCAUAGCGAAUUUGGCUUAUAUGGAUUAGUCUUCUUUGAUAUAAGCGUGCUUCCCUUUUUUGUUUUUAUUUGCUACUACAUGCACAUCCCUCUCCCAUUUUCCUUUUACUUGUUUAAAUUCGUUAUAAUAUGCACAUCCCUUCCCUGCUCCACCUUCCUUUGCUUAAAUUGGUUAUAACAUGCGUAUCUCUUUUCUAUUCACCUUUAUUUGCUCUAAAUUGCUCUUCAUUUGCUUAAAGAUUGCUACAUCGUGUCUCUCCUACCCCUACUCCCUUUCUUACUUUAUUACAUUCUCUAUAUUCCAUGAACUAACUUCUUCCUUUGUCUUUCUUUUUACGUCGUUUAUGUUUUACCUUAAUACUGUAUUUAUUGCUUUUUUAUAUUUAUCAUGAAAAUACUUGGCAACGUUUUAUUAUCUUUGCAUAAAGCAUGCUCCACACCAUAUUUCACUCGUGCCCGAUUAAUAACAUAGCGGCACUUGAUGAGUAUCCGCGCUCUUCCAAAUUUACCAUUUAAAAUUGGAAAGGCUUACUUGCGGUAAACUAGUCGAUCAACGGUGCAGUCGACGGUCCCAUGCCUUUCCCUCUCAAGUUGUCCACUUGAGAGUACCGGUCUAGAACCUUCUAUAAACCUCACUCCAAUAUCAAAUGUGCAUGUAUCAUGUCAAACCUAGUAUGGGUUAGAACGUUAUCCACGUGAUAAUCCACUAAGAUGAGCCUUAUAUAAAGUCCGACGGGAUUUCCACAAUCCCAAUAGACACCAUCAUGUUAUGUGCAUUACUUGGAGAAAACAUGCCGGUAUGUUGAUCAUUAAUGUGUAAAUAGUCAGGUCCGGAGGGGGAAAGGGCUAACUCUAUUUGUUUGUAGAAAAUGAAGCACAAAGUCCCCAGGUUCGGCAUGGUUCAAAACAUCCCACCUUUGUUACUUGAUUGGUGGAAGAACCUCUCACCUAGUGACAAGAAUAAUGUGAAAAGGGUCCUUGGUAAUUUACCUUCCUUAUUAGAGAUUCGGCCAAAUAGGGCAUUGGUUGAUGCCGCCACUAUGUUUUGGGAUGAGAAAAGAGAUGUCUUCUGCUUUGGUGACAUAGAAAUGACUCCUCUCUUAGAGGAAAUAGGAGGCUUCGCUAAGCUGCCAUGGGAUAAUCUGGGUUUAUUAGUACCAGAGAAUCGCACUCCCACGGUUUUUUUAAAAUGUUGGGUUUCAAGAAAAAUGAUGAGUUACUCUAUCUGAAGAAGUCAUACAUCCCAUUUGAAUUCCUUUACAAACGUUAUGGGCAUAGCAAGUCAUAUCACCUUCAUCAUGAUGAACUUGCCAUCGCUUCUUUUGGUUGGACGCACCGCCGAGUUUUUGUGUUCAUUGUCUGUUUCUUGGGAUUGCUGAUAUUUCCGAUGAAAGGGGGAAGGAUCCAAACUCGCUUAGCCAUGGUCGCUAGGACUCUAAUGGAAGGGAUCGAGGGACAAACUUACACUAUCAUCCCCAUGAUCUUGGCCGAAAUGUAUCGCGCUUUAGAUCGAUGCAAGCAGGGGUAUGGACACUUCGAGGGCUGUAAUAUGUUGUUGCAGGUUUGGUUAUUAGAAUAUUUCCAGAGAGGUGAAUAUCACCAAGAGCUUCUGCGACGACCAUUGAAUGACUACAUAGCUUACCAUCAUCCAAAGAUAAUGACAUUUAUCCUAGAUAGGUUUGUGCAACCUGGAAGUGUUGUGAGCUGGGUGCGUUUCUUCAGCAAUCUGACUGACGAAAAAGUACAUUGGAUGUUUGAAUGGUUGCCUAGCAGUGAGUUCAUAAUCAGAUCAAGAUAAACUACUCAUCUAGUGCUGAUCGAGUUAAGAGGGAUCUAUCCUUAUGCUCUUAUAACGGUAAUGAGGCAUGCGGGAAGAAAACAGGUUAUACCUCGGGUUUCCAACAUGGUCCAAUACAAAACAGAUUUUAAAGGGAACAUCGUUCCGUUCAAGUUCGAGGCACAGCAUAUGUGGAAUCAAAAGGUCAUUGUGGAGAAAGAUACUAUCAAGCCAGACAGGUAUCAUGCCGGCCAUGUGUACUUCUACCCAUCAGGGUUGGUAGAUGAUAUAGUGGGGGAUGUCAAGCCAGGAAUUAAUCUGAAAAAAUGGAUCAUAGAUGACGCUGCUAAAGCACAAGUCAAGUAUAGGAGGCUACGCAAAAGGGUCUUCGAGUCUGAAGCUAGGCAUCUAGAACAACACAAAGUGGAUAUGGAAGCAACCAACGAAUGGAGGGAAACCGCCACUAAAUCAAUAGAAAGACUAGAAUAUUUAGAGCAAGGGUUGAUGGAGCUUGAGGGAAAGGUGAGAAAGAGGCUUUCAGAUUGUCAGAACACGGAUGGCAAUGAAAGGGGGCAUCUAGCAAAGGCUUACCUGUUGUUGGAUAUGCGCGACCUGGGGAAUCUGAUUGAUGGAGUCAAGAGAGCCAAACAUAGGGAAGGUCCUUCUAGGACCAAGUAGAUUAGGAAAUGAUGUUCUUUACUAUUUUUAGCUUAGUUUUAGAUUUCAAUUGUAAUAAGGCAAAUGCCAUUAGUAACUUUCCUAUUAUUGUCGUUUUAGUAAGGAUUUAAUUCAUUUUCGCAUUAAUGAAAUGACACAAUUAUUGGCAUUAAUUUUCUCCAAGUCUAUGUGUCGCUUAGGCCUACCUCGGGCACAAUGAGGUCCCUCAAAUUAGGACGUGAAUUUAUUAAUUCUGCAACACAUGUUCAAUAUCGCAAACAUUCUUUUAAUACUCCUUACUGACUUGGUUACCUUUUUGUUUUUUCUUUUAUUUAUUCCCAUUCCCCAAGGUUGGUUCGUGCAUACUGGCAUCGUCAGCAUAUCACACUAGAUCCAGAGGUCUUCCACCUUCUACUCCACCAAGUUAUCCUAAUAACAAAGGAAAAGAAAUAAUGGAUGAUAUGAGUGGUAUUAGAAAAGACAAUGCUACCCACACAGAGAACAUUGAAACUUCAGACGGCCGGAGUACGCCAGCACAGAAUGAUUUGGUCCUAUGUGUGGAACAAAAAAUAUUGGAGCUACAAGCAGAGCUUGAGCAGGUUCGGAGCUUGGCAAACCUUUCCCUCACCCUAAACGUCCCCGACAUCAACCAACAAACCACAAACGCCCAAAACCCGGUACCUCCCCAAAACACACAAAACCAAAAUCCGCAAAAUCCUCUCGCGCCUCAUCAAUAUGCCACACCUCCUCAAAACCAUAAUCCUCCACCACUACCUACCCCUCCACAACACCAUCACUAUCCGACUCAAUAUCCACAAACCACCACUUAUCACACUCCUCAGAACGCACCACAACCUACCCCUAAUCCCCAAAACUCAACCAACGACCACCAUUAUGCCCAGAUUCCUGGAGUCCAUCAAAGCAAUCCCAUAUAUAUGGAAACUUUACCCCGUACCCCACAACAUACCUUAUAUAUACCCGAAUCCGCCGAGAAGGACAUGUUCAUCAAGAACAUGGAGGAAGAACUCAAGAAGCUUACUGGCAGAGUUCAAAGUGUCGAAGGUGGCAAAGGCAUUGAGGGUUUGAAUUAUGAAGAUUUGUGUAUUCAGCCAGAUGUAGAACUACCAGAGCAUUACAAACCUCCUAUGUUUGAAAUGUUCGACGGAACUGGUGAUCCGAAUGUGCAUUUGAGAACGUAUUGUGACAAACUUGUAGGGGUUGGUAAAGAUGAACGAAUCCGUAUGAAGCUGUUCAUGAGGAGCCUCACCGGAGACGCCUUGUCUUGGUAUAUCAGUCAGAACCCAAAGAAGUUGGUUAAUUGGGUGAGCAUGGCAUCAGAUUUCAUGGAUCGGUUCAUGUUUAACACAGAAAAUGCACCAAACAUUUCUACAUUCAGAAUCUCAAGAAGAAACCAACAUAAACUUUCCGCGAGUAUGCUACUCGGUGGAGGUCUGAAGUCGCAAAAGUAAGGUCGACACUUGAAGAAGAAUAGAUGAAUAAGUUCUUCGUCAAGCUCAGGAACCGCAAUACUACGAAAGAUUGAUGGUUAUUGAAAACCAUAAAUUUUCUGACAUCAUCAAAUUGGGAGAAAGAAUAGAAGAAGGGAUCAAAAGCGGAAUGGUGACAAACUUUGAAGCACUCCAAGCCACAAAUAAAGCUUUGCAGUCAGGAGGUAUCUCCAAGAAGAAAGAAGUGGGUGCAGUAAUGGUAGCCCAAGGUCCAAAGUCUCCUCUCACAUACCAAACACCUCCACCCACAUAUCGGCCUUCACCUCCCAGAUACCAAUAACCUGCCUCUAUUUACAAUACCUAUAACACCCAACCAGCAUACUACCACUCACCACCAGCCCGCCAAAAUAACCAAAACCAAGACUAAAUUUUUAUCACAGACCACCCAGACAAUACACUCCAAUUGCCGAACCCAUAGACCAACUAUACGAUAAGCUAAAGGCUGCUGGUUAUUUCACUCCCAUUCCCGCUGUUGCUAUGGAAAACUCUNNNNNNNNNNNNNNNNNNNNNNNNNNNNNNNNNNNNNNNNNNNNNNNNNNNNNNNNNNNNNNNNNNNNNNNNNNNNNNNNNNNNNNNNNNNNNNNNNNNNNNNNNNNNNNNNNNNNNNNNNNNNNNNNNNNNNNNNNNNNNNNNNNNNNNNNNNNNNNNNNNNNNNNNNNNNNNNNNNNNNNNNNNNNNNNNNNNNNNNNNNNNNNUCAGACAUUAAUUGACACCAAAGUCAUACAGGCAAAAGAGGCUGCACCCAAUGUCCGUAACAAUCCUCUCCCAGAUCAUAGGGGUGAAGGGGUAAACGUGAUAGAGACCAAUGAAGAAUGGGACUCGGAAGGGUCAAUUGGACUCAUUCGAGAAGGGAAUAAUCCUAAAACAUCUCCAGUCACUCUCACACAUAUCGUGGUACAAACUCAGGCACCAAUUAAAGUUGGGGUAGCCGCACCAACUCCAUUUGAGGUUGAAGUAACAACACCCUUCACUGUGAUGGUAGCACCUACGCCAUCUUAUAAGUCUAAUGCUAUACCAUGGGAUUAUGUUGCUGAAGCAAGAAGGAAAGGAAAAGCAAAAAUGGAAGAAACAGGUGCAGUGCAAGGCAUGACCAUAACAGGUAGGGUUUAUACACCCGAGCAUUUGGGAGGAACGAGCAAAGAAGCUGCAUCUAAUCCGCCUGUCAUUGAGACUGGCCCGGAUGACCUUUGGAGAAAGGUAAAAGCAAGAGAAUAUUCUGUGGUUGAUCAUCUGAACAAAACCCCUGCUCAAAUAUCCAAUUUAUCACUACUGCAAAACUCGAGGCACAUAGGAAUGCCCUGAUGAAAUUUGUUGAAUGGAGCCUAUGUACCCAUUAACAUCACCAGUGGAGAAAUGGCCAACAUGGUAAGGCAAGUGUUGGAAAGCUACAAGAUCACUUUACAUGAAGAUGAGCUGCCACCGGAAGGACUAAGUCAUAACAGGGCACUGCAUAUCACAGUGCAGUUGGAGGACAAAUUCAUUGCCAGAGUCCUGAUAGAUGGGGGUUCGAGUCUCAACAUAUGUCCACUAACUACUCUGAAAAGAUUGGGUAAAGGCCUGCACGAGAUACGAGUAGGAAGUAUGAAUGUGAAAGCAUUUGAUGGGUCUCAAAGGGCCACAAUUGGGGAGACCAACCUCAGCCUACAGAUGGUCCCAACUUGGUUUGAUGUUGAGUUUCAAGUGUUGGACAUAUCUGCUACCUACAACCUAUUGUUGGGACGACCUUGGAUACAUGCCGCUGGGGCCAUAGCUUUUACUCUACAUCAGUCCGUGAAGUUUGAGUGGAACCAUCAGGAAGUGAUUAUCCAUGGAGACGGAAGUAAUCCCAUUUAUACCAAUCAAACUGUUCCGGUCGUGGAGAAUAGAAGGAAGUUGGGUGGAGAAACAUACCAUCGCAUCAAGCUCAUCAAUGCAAUUGAGAAAGACAAAUGGUAGAGCAGUAAGAUAGAAAGCAUACUAUCAUGAACAGAGUAUGAACCCGGCAAGGGUCUCGGCAAAAAUCUCUAGGGGAUCACCAAACUGAUACAGCUAAAGCGUCAUGGCAUAACCUUUGGGCUUGGGUAUGAAUACACUUGGAAAGAGUGUCAUAAUUGGUCGCCACCAUGGCAUGGUCCUUAUUACCCUCUAGAACAACCAGUACCACAUUUGCACCAGUCAUUUCAUCAAGCUGACAUGAUGUGGGGGUCCGAAAAAGAUGAAGUUUUAGCUGGCAUAAAGAAUUUGUUUCUGGAUGAUGAAGACAUGGAUUGCAGUGCGGUAGUUGAGGAGAAGGAGGAGGAAGGCCUUAUUAUUUAGACCGUGGAGAAGGGAGUUGUUCUCAAGAACUGGACUGCUGCACCAUUAAGGGCCCGUCGAGUUCCUGGGUAGCCUGGCAAUUAGCAUAAUUUAGUUUUUGAAAGCAAUUUUAUGAGCAUCAAAGACAUUUUCAGUAUUUUAUUUUAAGCAUAUUUUGUUUUGAAAUAAUUUCUCGAAUCAUCGAACUGCACUUGUUUGACGCUUCAACUUUUUAUCAAUGGAUUGUCGUUUUUAGUAUUUAUUAUUAUCCCUUACAUUUUCUCUCUCUAUAACAUUAUUAUUAAUUAUCCUGAUGAACCUACGACUGUGACAUGUAAUGAGACAACGCAACAUAAGGAGAGUGAUUCAGAGGAUCUGGAAGAGGACAUAAUACCCGAGGAAAUCGUUAGAGAAGUGGAAAAUUUUGAAAACAAACCUAAGUCCAAUUUGGAUGAGACUGAAACAGUUAAUUCGGGAGACUCCGAAACAGUCAAGGAAACGCUUGUAAGCAUUCAUCUAUUGCCGUCAAAGAAGGAAUAAUAUAUCUAGUUUUUGAAAGAGUAUGAGGAAAUUUUUUCAUGAUCCUACGAUGAUAUGACCGGUUUGAACACGUCCAUAGUGGCUCAUAAACUACCUACCGACCCUAUGUGUCCACCGGUAAAGCAGAAACUCAGAAAGUUCAAGCCAGAUUUGAGUUUGAAAAUAAAAGAGGAAGUCACCAAGCAAAUCAAAGCCAAGGUUCUCAGAGUGGUUGAAUAUCCAACCUGGUUGGCUAACUUUGUGUUGGUUCCAAAGAAAGAUGGGAAGGUCAGAGUGUGUGUCGACUAUCGGGAUUUAAAUAGAGCAAGUCCCAAAGAUGUUUUCCCUUUGCCCAAUAUAAACAUACUGAUUGACAACUGUGCCAAGCAUGAACCUCAAUCCUUUAUGGAUUGCUUCGCGGGAUAUCAUCAGAUCUGGAUGGAUGAAGAGGUUGCCGAAAAGACAGCCUUUAUUACACCAUGGGGAGUAUAUUGUUACAAAAUGAUGCCGUUUGGCCUAAAGAAUGCUGGAGCCACUUAUAUGAGGGCCAUGACAACCAUUUUCCAUGACAUGAUACACAAGGAGAUAGAGGUGUACGUGGACGAUGUCAUCAUCAAAUCUAAAAAGGGUACAGAUCACAUAGCGGAUUUGAGGAAAUUUUUUGAUCGACUUCAAAGGUACAACCUGAAACUGAACCCCAUAAAGUGUGCCUUCGGAGUCCCUACUGGAAAACUACUAGGGUUCAUCAUCAUCCACCGAGGAAUUGAGCUUGACCCGUCAAAGGUCAAGGCUAUCCAAGAUUUGCCACCUCCGAAGAACAAAAAAGAUGUGAUGAGUUUCUUAGGGCAUCUCAAUUACAUCAGCCGUUUCAUAGCACAAUCAACUGUGAUCUGUGAACCGAUUUUCAAAAUGUUGAAGAAAGACACUGCAACAAGUUGGACUGAAAAGUUCCAGAAAGCCUUUGACAAUAUCAAGGAAUACUUAUCCAAACCACCUGUUCUGGUCCCACCGGAACAUGGGAGACCUCUGCUACUUAAUUUAUCUGUACUAGAUGGGGCUUUCGGCUGUGUCUUGGGACAACACGAUAAGACGGGAGAAAGGAGCAGGCCAUAUACUAUCUGACUAAGAAGUUCAUACCUUACAAAGCAUGGUAUUCUUUGCUGGAACGCACCUGCUGCGCUUUGACAUGGAUAGCUCAAAAGUUGAGGCACUACUUUUGUGCCUACACGACAUAUCUCAUAUCAAGGAUGGAUUCGCUAAAAUACAUCUUCCAGAUACCCAUGCUUAUGGGGAAGUUAGCAAAAUAGAAGAUACUACUUAGUCAGUUUGACAUCAUCUAUGUAACCCAGAAGGCGGUCAAAGGGCAAGCAUUGGCGGAUCAUCUGGAAGAAAAUCCUGUAGAUGGAGUAUACAAACCACUAAAAACGUAUUAUCUCGAUGAAGAGGUAUUGUUCGUAGGAGAAGAUAUCACAGAAGCCUAUGAUGGUUGGAGAAUGUUCUUCGAUGGGGCUGCGAAUUUCAAAAGAGUGGGUAUUGGAGCAGUUUUAGUGUAAGAAAUGGGUCAACACUAUCUAGUAUCCGCAAAACUCAGGUUUCCAUGUACUAACAACAUGGCAGAAUAUGAGGCCUGCAUCUUAGGACUCAGGUUAGCCAUCGAAAUGAACAUUCAGGAAUUGCUGGUAAUUGGAGAUUCAGACCUUUGGGUACAUCAGGUUCUAGGAGAUUGGGCUACAAAAAAUACCAAGAUAUUACCAUAUUUGUACUAUGUACAAGAGUUGAUGAAGAGAUUCACAAAAAUAGAGUUCAAACAUGUUCUGAGAAUCCAGAAUGAGUUCGCAAAUGCACUGGACACUUUAUCUUCCAUGAUACAAUACCCAAACAAGAAUUUCAUCGAUCCUAUCCUAUUAGGGAUUCAUAAUCAGCUAUCUAAUUGUGCUCAUGUUGAAGAGGAAAUGGAUGGAAAUCCAUGGUUCCACGACAUCAAAGAAUAUUUGGAAAAAGGAGAGUACCCGGAGCACGCAAAUCAUACUAAAAAACGCACACUCCAAAGAUUAUCCAACCACUUCUUCCAAAGCGGAGGAAUUCUAUACAGAAGGACUCCAGAUCUGGGAUUAUUACAGUGUGUCGACGCCAAUGAAGUAUCCAAAUUGCUUGAAGAGAUACAGGCCGAAACUUGCGGACCGCACAUGAAUGGCUUUGUCUUAGCUAAGAAGAUAUUAAGAGCAGGAUAUUUUUGGAUGACAAUGGAAACAGACUGCAUCAGGUAUGUCCAAAAGUGUCAUCAAUGCCAAGUACAUGCUGAUAUGAUACGAGUGCCACCCAAUGCAACAAGUGCACCUUGGCCUUUCUCCGCUUAGGGAAUGGAUGUCAUCGAUCCAAUCGAACCCGCCGCUUCAAAUAGGCACAGGUUCAUUCUAGUGGCCAUAGAUUAUUUCACAAAAUGAUUGAAGCCGCAUCUUACAAGGUUGUAACUAAGAAGGUCAUUGUAGAUUUCAUUAGGGAUCGUAUUAUUUGUCGGUUCGGGGUGCCAAAAUCAAUUAUCGCCGACAAUGCCGCCAACCUUAACAGUGAUUUGAUGAGAUCCAUGUGUGAAAUCUUCAAGAUCAAGCAUAAGAAUUCCACAACAUACAUGCCACAAAUGAAUGGAGUUGUGGAAGCCGCCAAUAAGAACAUCAAGAAGAUAUUAAAGAAGAUGGUAGAUAAUCACAAACAAUGGCACGAGAAGCUACCAUUUGGCCUACUUGGAUAUCGUACCACGGUUCACACAUCAACGGGGGCAACUUCUUAUUUGUUAGUCUAUGGUACUGAAGCUGUUAUUCCCGCUGAAGUAGAAAUUCCUUCUUUGAGAAUCGUACAAGAGGCUGGAUUGAGUGAUACAGAAUGGAUACGAAGUCACUAUGAACAACUGGCUCUCAGUAAUGGGAAAAGAAUGAAUGUGGUAUGUCACGGUCAACUCUACCAGAAAUGACCAGAACCGAAUAUCCAGAGCUUUCAACAAAAGGGUCAGGCCUAGACAAUUCAUAUCGGGGCAGUUGGUACUAAAGCGGAUCUUUUUGUAUCAAGAUGAAGCCAAAGCAAAAUUUUCACCCAAUUGGCAAGGUCCAUACAUGGUUCAUAGAGUACUAAUAGGAGGAGCACUCAUACUUGCAGAAAUGGACGGAGAAAUUUGGCAAAACCUAUCAACUCAGACAUAGUCAAAAGAUAUUAUGUUUAGACUAUUUACAUUUCUUCAUCUGAUGUACCUGAACUACGCUUGACCUGAUUCCCAUUUAAGAGGGGAUAAGUAGGAAGCCCUGUGGGUUCGGUCACAUCUUAAUAAAAUAUUCAUUUUUUCCACGGUCAGAAGCUGGCCCUCAAAAUUCUAAAGCUAGUCCAGACAACUUCGUCAUACGCAGAACAAUCAAAGGAUUGUUUUUAAACUGGGGCAGAAUUUUGAGGAGGACCCUUAAAAUUCUAAAGCAUGGAGGUUGCAAUGUCUCUAAAAAAUGUCACAGUCAUUGGCUCAUCUAGAUUACUUAAUAUUGCAUACUACCAUAUUUCAAAUAACUACACUCAUCAAAUGCACACAUAUGUUUUUUAAAAACUUUAUUUCUAUAACAGCCAGAUGCUGCCCAGGGUAACUCAAACAGGAUCUCAAGACAGGAGCAAAAUCAAAGUAAGAAGGUGAAAGCACAGACCAACUUUCCCCCACAAAACUCACAAUCUUUCUUUGGAUGCAGGUACAGUAAGACAACAAUAUCUGUAGACACAUCAGGUCACUACGUUCAAGACAGCAAAUUAUCUAUCACAAGCAUCUCCAGCUAAGAAAUACACUACUUUCUCACUAUCACUCAACAUUUUCUUGCAUGAGGCUAAGCACUGCCUCCUUAACUGCAUAAGGCUAAGCACCGCCUUUCUUUGCAUGAGACUAAGCAAUGUCUCCUAUUUGCAUAAGGCUAAGCAUUGCCUCAUUAACUGCAUAAGGCUAAGCAUUGCCUUUUCCGCAUGAGACUAAGCAGUGUAACCUAUUUGCAUGAGGCUAAGGCCUGCCUCCCUAUUUGCAUGAGGCUAAGCCCUGCCUUUUCCGCAUGAGACUAAGCAUUAUCUCCUAUUUGCAUGAGGUUAAGCAUUGCCUCCUUAACUGCAUAAGGAAAAGCACUGCCUCCUUAACUACAUAAGGCUAAGCACCGCCUUUCUUUGCAUGAGACUAAGAAGUGUCUCCUAUUUGCAUGAGGGUAAGCAUUGCCUCCUUAACUGCAUAAGGCUAAGCAUUGCCUUUUCCCCAUGAGACUAAGCAGUGUCUCCUAUUUGCAUGAAGCUAAGCAUUGCCUCCCUAAUUGCAUAAGGCUAAGCAUUGCCUUUUCCGCAUGAGACUAAGCAUUGUCUCCUAUUUGCAUGAGGCUAAGCAUUGACUCCUUAACUGCAUAAGGCUAAGAACUGCAUUUCUUNNNNNNNNNNNNNNNNNNNNNNNNNNNNNNNNNNNNNNNNNNNNNNNNNNNNNNNNNNNNNNNNNNNNNNNNNNNNNNNNNNNNNNNNNNNNNNNNNNNNNNNNNNNNNNNNNNNNNNNNNNNNNNNNNNNNNNNNNNNNNNNNNNNNNNNNNNNNNNNNNNNNNNNNNNNNNNNNNNNNNNNNNNNNNNNNNNNNNNNNNNNNNNNNNNNNNNNNNNNNNNNNNNNNNNNNNNNNNNNNNNNNNNNNNNNNNNNNNNNNNNNNNNNNNNNNNNNNNNNNNNNNNNNNNNNNNNNNNNNNNNNNNNNNNNNNNNNNNNNNNNNNNNNNNNNNNNNNNNNNNNNNNNNNNNNNNNNNNNNNNNNNNNNNNNNNNNNNNNNNNNNNNNNNNNNNNNNNNNNNNNNNNNNNNNNNNNNNNNNNNNNNNNNNNNNNNNNNNNNNNNNNNNNNNNNNNNNNNNNNNNNNNNNNNNNNNNNNNNNNNNNNNNNNNNNNNNNNNNNNNNNNNNNNNNNNNNNNNNNNNNNNNNNNNNNNNNNNNNNNNNNNNNNNNNNNNNNNNNNNNNNNNNNNNNNNNNNNNNNNNNNNNNNNNNNNNNNNNNNNNNNNNNNNNNNNNNNNNNNNNNNNNNNNNNNNNNNNNNNNNNNNNNNNNNNNNNNNNNNNNNNNNNNNNNNNNNNNNNNNNNNNNNNNNNNNNNNNNNNNNNNNNNNNNNNNNNNNNNNNNNNNNNNNNNNNNNNNNNNNNNNNNNNNNNNNNNNNNNNNNNNNNNNNNNNNNNNNNNNNNNNNNNNNNNNNNNNNNNNNNNNNNNNNNNNNNNNNNNNNNNNNNNNNNNNNAUUCUCGCAAUAAUCCAUAUAUACUUGCAUGCAUCGUGUUUUAAGUUUUGUAGGUAAUCCAAGAAGUAACUGUUCUCCUAACGGGAGCAAUCUUCGCUCCAUUUCAAACGUAACCAACCACCAUCAAUUACCCACCUUUUACUCUAUGACCGUUCAAAUAUUUGCUCAGUGAUACAUCCAUAACGUUUCAAAUUCGCAUUCAUGACUUCGCAUAAAUUCAUCCGAUACUAUCCGAUCCAAAGGAACCCUUUUCGAAAUAUACGACCAUUCCUAUAACAACUACGUCGGUUUUGUUCACCGUUGGGUCCAGAACUACACAUGGCCUGGUUCCCAUAACACCAGGGAUAUGUAGGCAACUAAGGAACCAGGGUUUGGCCCCCACUUUUUCCAAAUCACAUCAUACCUCAUUUAAUUCGGCCAAAAUUGGUCAUCAUUCUUUUUUACACUUUCCCUAAAAAAACUAGGGUUUACCGGAUUUCUCUCCUAAAUUGAUUUUUGAACUGAUUUUGCAUGCCUUCUUUCCUUAUUCUAUGAUUGAUUUAUUUUGUUUCCUUAUUUGUUCGUUCAAUUUUUACUACUAUAUAAAUCUCUCCCCAUUCCCCUUUUAGGACAGACUUGAAUCGACAUAUUUUCACUAAAACAUUAAGUCUUUUGUUAUGGUAUUCUCUUGUUCUGUAUUCUGUUUUUGGCUGGCUGAAAGUCAAGGCCACUAAGACUCUGUUAUUCAAUCUUCUCUCGGUGCGAGCAUUGCCCGGAGUUCUUUUGAAACUCCUGGGAACUUUGACGCAUUGAGAUUCUAGGUUCUUGUGGAAUGUUUUCUCUUUACUGUUAUUCGUUUAACUGGUAAGUUACUGCACUUCUUCAAUUUCAUUCUUAUGUGUUUGUGAUUCGCAUACGUUCUCACUUCUGAAAUCCAUAACUUAAUAUAUUUCUGGACUGGCCUUGUGUGCAAUUCUGCUAGCUUUACCUCAGUUUUAGGUCUCUUUAGCAUUUAAUUUCACAUAAUGUGACUACUAUGAAACAUGCUUUUGCCUAAUUUGAGCAAUUUAGAUUCUCAUAAAUCCGUUUAGCCAAUAUGAUCUGAACUACUACUGUGUGUGACCUUUGCACUUGUUAGCAUCUCUUUAGUGUUUAGUUAUGCUUAAAAUGUCAAUUAUGUUAUUUGAAUAUUCUUGAUCUGCAUAAUUUGUACUUUACUUAGUUAAUUAGUCUAUUGUGUCCAAAACCUGAAUGUUUACAUUUACUAUCUGACAUGAGCUUGUUUUCCUAUUCUGUUCUGAAUCUCUGUAAUGAUAAUCUUGCAAUGUAGAAUGUUUUAAGUCUGUGUUAAGAUCCUUCUCUACCAACCAUGACUAGUUCCUUGUUAAUAUGUCCCUCAUCAUGUUUUUGGCUCACUUGAUCCACCAGUAAUUGUCAUAAUCAGUGUUGCCCCAUCAUGUCUAACGCAGUUCUGUUGUCUGAUAUGAAAUUAACAUGGCUAUUUUAUGACACUAGGAUAUAUACUUAGCAUAAUUUGGACCUUUAGGUUUUCACCUGUUUGGUAUCGGGCAUCUGUGCAUGAUAAUCUUUGUCAAUCCUGCAAACUAGUUCUUUUCUUAACUCUACCAAUAUGUGACUGCCUAUGUGCUAAGUGUCGAACCUGCUUCUAAAUCUUUACUAAACUUGCUUUUAAAUCCUGUGACCUGUUCAAUUAUCUGCUCUAUAUGAUCAACUUGGCCAUGUCUGUUUUAAGUUAUAAUUGUAUCCCUCAAUUCCUAUCUCUCAACCUUGGUUCACUCUCCUUCACUUUUUACCUAUGCUCUCUUAAAUUUCUCAUCCUUAGCCGGCUGAAAGCCCAGGCUACCUAGGCUUUACUGCUGACCUCCCUAGUGUGAGCACUGCUCGAGGUCCAUUUGGGGCCCUUGUGAACUCUGACACACUAGGAUUUGGGUCCUUAGUCAUUCUCUGAAACUUAAACUACCCCCAUUCAACCCCUUUCUUCCUAUUAUCUGUUAUACAUCUAAGUCAGUUGGUUUAAAUGAUGCAAUGCUUGGAAAUAUGGUUAUAUGAAUUGAAUUUGGGCUCCUCCGUGGAUUUUGGGGUUGUUUUGAAGAAUACGGCUCCUUGUUAGAAGUUUGGGUAUGCUGUGUGAGAAUUGCUGAAGGCCCAGACAGUGCUGGGUAUUUUAUUUAAGUCUGUUGUGGGCCUAUUGUCAUUAUUUGUAUAAUAGUUGUAUCAUACUCAUUAAUGGACCUGUAAUAACUUUGUAUAAAUGAUUGGGGUGUUAGUAAAAUGGGGAAUGGGUAGAUUUCUAAUAGUUGCAUAUCAAAUGGGUAGACGACAUGCCUAUAGGACUCAUUGAUUCACUUGCUAUAUGUGCCGUUCAAUUUAUAUGUGCAUUGUAGAAACCAUGUCAUUAGGAUAAACACACACACACACACACAUUGUCUGUUGGCAAACAUGAAUUCAAAUGCUACAAUUAUUCUUACUGCUACGUGUUACUAGAAAACCUGCCUAUAGGAACAAAUGUCAAUGAACUUUCUUUCAAUUCAUUUCAGCAUAUUCAUUAAAAAUCAUUCCUAUAGGAUUUUGAUCACCUCAUUUGCUAUUAUCUCAUAAUGUUCACUACAAAACAUGCCUAUAGGAUUUUAAUCAUCUCAUUCGUUACCGCAUCACACUGUUCACCUAGAAAACAUAUCUAUAGGGUUGAGUGUAAUGAUAAAAUCAGCUCCAAGUACUAAAUAUUAGAGAUCCUGUCUAUAGGACAACACUGUUUCGUCUUAAUAAGAGUUAAUGAUGCACCUUUCAAUAUGGUUUAUUAUACACUUCUAGGAUCUUCCCAAUGGUCCUUUCAUUAUUCCUUACUGCACGAGUCACCUAGACACAGCAGGCUUAAUAACCGAAAAUCUGCAAUUUCAUUAAUCAGCAUGCAAAUCGUAUAAUCCUAUUUAUGAGCAACGCUUGGCCUUUGAAACUGUUUGCAAGCCCUGAUGCCUUGUCACGUAGAGAUCAUGACUAUAGGGAGUUAAGUUUCUUAAUUCUAAAUUUCUUAACAUGAAGUUUGUCUUGCGUGCAUUUGUUGCUUAAGUGUGGAGGCAAACUUGAACCUUAACUGUCUAUAUGUGAAGGCCAAUGUGUUUUUGUAUGUUGCCUAGUUUUGACAUUUCUGAGCAGCCUAAGUGAGGUCUAGAGCCAUCCAAAUAGAGGUCCAAAACCUCAUGGACCAUAGGUAUGGGACAGGUAGUGUACGCGUAGGGUACAAGUUAGAAUUGAAUUAGAGUGCUCUUAGGUAAACAACUUUAACAUAGUAAUCGGGUAGCAAGAGAUAAUAGUUUUUGUCCGCUGGAUAAUAUGAGUAACGCCCUAUCUAAAGGGAGUUACGAAAUAUUAUUUAUGUUGCACGGGGUGAUCCUUUAGACUAAAAAAUUUAGGACCCCCCUCCCCUUUUCUUUCUUUUCUAUUAGAAUGAAAAAAUAGCUGCACCUCCCUAUUCAAGGUCUCUUUGUAAUCAAUUCUUAUCUUUUGUACUCUCUUUGCUUACUUUAUCACAUAAACUAAUCCAUAUAAUUUAAGAUCGGCCGGGACCCACAGUUGUGGACCUCAAGAAGUGCCUAACAUCUUCUCUUUGAGGUAACUUGAGCCCUUACCUGAUCUUUGGUGGCGUUGACUAGUUAAAACAGAGUCAUUUGCAAAUACGUGCCCUAAUGUACCUUAAAAAUCGUUAGAUGGUGACUCUCCUCUUUUAAUACCUCCUUAAAAGAGUUGUCACAUGUAGAAGCCCGCUUUCGCGAGAAACAUAGGGGUGCGACAAGGAGCUCAGACUCAUAUGGCCCGUACUCCAGAGCAACAUGUCUACAUUGGUCAGGUUCUGGUGUGGUGCCUGUACAGCCUAUUAUUCUGGUCAUGUCUGAGGUCAGGCCAGAGGUAUUAGAAGAAGAACAAAAGGGGCUUGAGAGGUUUAAGAGAUAUUGUCAACCUACUCUAGUGGCUAAACGUGCCACCGUAUUCUCCGUACCAGGGGUAUUGUAGAAGUGAGGGGAGUUUCCUUUUCCAAAUUUUAGCUGUCAGGAGCAGCGUAUCAAUGGUAACACGUUUGUGAAGAGGAUAGACUAGCCGAUGCAACACUACCAACUUUGACUCAAUUUUUGGAAAUAUUUUUGAAAGAAUUUGUUCCCCAAACUCUCCGGGAGGCGUGGCACAUAGAGUUUGAACAGCUGCGUCAGGGCACCAUGACGGUGUCAGAAUAUGAUAUCAGGUUUAGUGAGUUAGCCCGUCAUGCACCUAUCUUGGUUCCUACAGUUAGAGAGCGAGUUCACAUAUUCAUUGAAGGGCUCGAUUAUGAUUUUAAAAUAUGUAUGGAUCGAGAGUUGAAGACUAACAUUCCAUUUCAUCAAGUAGUAGAGAUUACUAGGAUGUUAGAACGUGUUCAAAGUAAGGAGAAGGAGGCUAAGGAGGCCAAAUGAUCUCGGAACUCUGGAGGAUUUAGUGGAUUCUACGCUGCAGCUAUGACUCAUCAUGGCGGAGGCUCAGGCAGUCGGUCAGCCUAGUCCGCAAUUCAGAAUACUCAUAGUACUUCAGUUAAUACUUUUAGUGCACCACCGGUAUGGGGUUCUUACAGUGGGCAUUCCAGUAAUCUGGCAGAGAUUCAGUAUGAGCAGCCGCACCCGCAGAGGGGUUGUUAGGAGAGUGGUGAUACUAGACACAUCAAGAGAAAUUGUCCCAGACUUGGAAGGGGUGUAUUUCAUCAGAACACUCAAGCUACAAGCUUUAUUCCAGUUAAUACUCCACGUGCAUAGCCAGUUAGGGAUGGAGGACAGGCGGGUAGAGGUUGCCUAAGAGGUGGAGGCCCGACCCGUUGAUAUAAUUGCUAUGAAUGGGCUGAAGCUGAUACACCAGAUGGUGUAGUUACAGGUAUGAUUUAAAUUAUAAUAAAAGGAGCACUAUUCUUAUUUUGAUUCGAUUUCGAUUAUCGAGGUGAGAAACUCCUUUCAUGCUCCUUAUAUAUGGUGGAUUAGUGAAUUUGUACUCCACUCCCAUUUUUAUCCCUGUUGGGAGAUUUGAAGAUGUUAGCCCGUGCCUAUCAUUUUAUUUGUACACUACUGAGGGCUAUAAGUCCAAAAGUGACUUUAUAUUACUCACUAUUGUGGGUUUUGAUGUGAUUUCGGAAUAAUUGAUCUCAAUUUUUUGAAUUAUAUGCCCUAUUUGUAUGAGGGUUCAUUAUGUGUUGUGAAUUUGUUUACGAAAUUUAUUGGAAAGAAGAAAGAAAGGAAAUUGAAAAUUUCAGUUGGCACAAUGUGCAAAAUACUUGUGAUUCGGAGUUGAGGACGAGAUCCUCGCAUUUUUAUAUGAGGUGAAAUAUUUAAACUAGGCUACGAGCUGCUGUUAAAGUUAUGUAAGGACGUGGUCCUUGUGGUGAAAAACUUUAUGAGUUUAAAUUCUCCUUUUGUAUAAUUAAAAUUUGUACUAUAGUAUUAAUAAGGAGUCAUGCCUGUUAGGCUUAUUUGAUAAUUCUUGUAUAUAUUUCUGUGCAUAUUUAGCCAUAUUCAUGCUGUAAACAUUGAGUUUUAGCUUAUAAAGUGGGUGCCCAGGUAGCGUUAAAUGUGACUCAUUAAUUUGGAUAAAUAAUUAUGAGGUAUUCAUGCCUCGCGUGUUGCUGUCAAUAUUAUGAAAAAAUUGAAAUGAGGUUUUGGUUAAUAUGAGGUUAAUUGAUGAUACUGGAAUUAAUUAUGAACAUCUAUUAUGAUUAGAGAUGUGGUUAUGGGCAUACGUAUAAUGUGUGUGUGGGAACGAAAUUUCUACAGCCGGUUGAGACUAACACGCUGUGUUAAUAUGAAAAAUCUGGCAUUUGAAAAUGAUUGGAGAGUAAGAAAUUGGAUUUAAACCUUAUACGUAUGGAUAAAAGAAAUAAUCUCAACUGAGAUGGUGUUGUCGGACCCAUGUUAAAUUGCGGGACGUAGAAUCACCCACGAGUAUGUGUGUAAGAAUACACUCAGUAAUUUAAUGUCCUCAGAAAGAUUCUUGGCACGUUCGAGGACGAACGUAUGUUUAAGAGGUGGGGAAUGUAAUGAGUCGACUUGUCAUUUUAAUAAUUAAGGCCCCGUUCAGUGACUUAAGGUCCCGAGCAACUUCGUAAUAUGUAUUAUGACUCGCGUGUGCAUUCGAGGUUAGUUUUUGGAAGGUUCGGAAUUAAAUUGUAAGAGAAAUGCUCAUUUAUUGAAGCUUAAAUGGAAAUAGUUGACCAGAGAGUUGACAUUUGAGCAAACAACCCUGGAAUGGAAUUUUGAUGAUGUAAAUAGCUUCGUAUGGUAAUUUCGGACUUAGGAAUAUGUUCAGAUUUUUAUUUGGAUGUCCGUAGGACAAUUCGACGCAUUUUGGCGAAAGUUGGAAAAUAGAAGAUUUUUGGAAAGUUCGACCGAAGGUUGAAUUUUCGAUAAUGAGGUCGGAUUUCGAUUCCGAAAAUUUGAACAGCUCCAUUACAUCAUUUAUGACUCGUGUGCAAAAUUUGAAGUCAUUCCGGAUUGAUUUGGUACGUUUCGACGUAAAAUAUAGAAGUUGGAAGAUUUGAAAACUCUUAAAUCAUUCCGAUGCGCGAUUCGUAAUUUCGGCAUUGUUUGACGUGGUUUGAAGCCUCGACUAAGUUCGUAAUGUAUUUUGGGACAUGUUGGUAUAUUUGGUUAAGGUCCCGAGGGCCUCGGGUGAAUUCCGGAUGGCUAAUAGAUCAAUUUGGACUUGAAAAAGACUGCUGGAAUUUUGAACUUGCUGGUGUAAUCGCUUAUGUAGAAUCUUGAUCGAAGAAGCGACCUCGCAAAAUCGAGGAUUUAAUCGCAGAAGUAACCUGGAUAGAACUGGAGAAAGGUCUAAGAUGCGGACAGACUUCCGCACUUGCGCAAUCGCAGGUGCAAUGUUUUCUACGCAGAAGCGACGAGGCAGCGCAACAACGUAAAUGUUGCGCACCUGCGAUAAUCGCAAAAGCAAAAAUUGCUCCGCAGGUGCGAUCUUUGUGGCUGGGAAGUGAUCAUCGCAGAAGCGCAUUUUGUCCCGCAAAAGCGAGACCGCAGAUGCGAAAUUCUUUCCGCAGAAGCGGUUCUGGACAGAAACAUUAAGGACUAAAAUUGGUCAUUUUGCCAUUUUCGAUUGGGAUUUUGGAGCUCGGUUUUUGGGCGAUUUUGGAGGAGUUCUUCAAUACUUUGACUUGGGUUAGUGUUCUAUAUCCGAAAGUGAUUAUAUUUCAUGAAUCGAUGGUUAUAUUCAUCGUUUAAUUCAAGUUUAAUGGAGGAAAUGGGAAUUUUUAUAAGAACUUUUCAAAAAUGGAAAUUCAAGAUUUGAAGGAUAAUUUGUUAUUGGAAUUCGAUAAAAUUGGUAUGGUUGAACUCGUAUCAGAAUUGUUGUUCAGAUUUCGUAAAAAUUAUGUCGGGUUCCGAGAGGCGAGCCAUCGUUGACUCUUGUUGACUUUUUAGGAUAAAUUUCUAAGUCGACAUUUUAUUAUCCGAAAUUAUUUCCGAUGAAUCUUAAUGAAGUUAUACAAUUAAUUUGGAUAGAUUUGAGCAUUCCGGAGGUCAAUUCAAGCAAGAAGGCAAUUUUGGAAAAUCGGCAUAACUUCAAAAGGGUAAGUGUGUUGCCCAUCCUUGAGUGGGGGAAUUACCCCUUAGGCAUUGAGUCUUAUGUGCCAUUUAUGAAAUGUGAAAAGUCGUGUACGUGAGGUGACGAGUACGUACUCAGGCUAUAUGUGUAAAAUUUAUUGAUUUAAAUUCUUGGGCAUAUUGUGUCAUAAAUUGGAUAAUUAUUGGCAUUUGUUUAAUCAUCUGUUUGUCAUGCCUCAAUUCGCAUUUAUUGAAUUUAUUUUUAUAUGACGAUUUGAUGUGAAUGUUACCUGUAUAUUUAUGUUAAUUCUGUGAGUUUGAUGGUUUUAAUUUCAUUAUGGAUUUUCUCUCUGCAAAUAAUUAAUUAAACGGGAUUAAGAAGAAGUGUUAAUAUAAUUAUUAAAAUUUGGAUUAAUGAAGGCGUUGCCCUAUGCUGAUUAUUUUCUAUCUCUAUUGGUUGUUUUUGACGUUUUAUACACAUUGUGUGGAGUCUUGGGCUAAUUGUUGUGAAAUUAAUUGAUUUGUUAUAUCUUUGGAAUUGGUUGUGGCCAUUGGCCAAAUUCUGAUAUAAAUUGAUUUUUUUUAUGUUGCCGUAAAAAUAUUCUGUGUAAAUUGUUGAGUAAUUAUUUUGAAGAUAUAAGGGUGGCAUUCUACUGUUGAUAUUAUAUGGGUAUAAGGGUGGCAUUUCACUAUUGCUAUGUUGGGAUACUGUCUGGGGAAAGUGAUAAGGGUGGUUAUAGGAGAUAUAAGGGUGGCAAUAGGAGCGAUAAGGAUGACUAUUGAUAUUGUUACGGCGGAGGGAUAAGAGAAGCUAUUAUAGGAGUGAUAAGGGUGGCUAUAGGAGAGAUAAGGGUGGCUAUUGUCAAGGAUGAUAUGUGAUGAUGUGGAGUUAUUGUGUUGGCAAUUUUCAUGUAAUGUUGGAGCAUUCCUUGUGUUUAUUUUUAUAUCUUGUGCAACUUGUCUUGUUGUUUCGGUAAACUUGAUAAUAAACUGAUUUAUGUUGAAAUUGUGAGCGUGUGGCUAUUGUCGGGUAGGUAAUGUUACAUGGGAUCGGGUUGCACGCCGCAACGGAUAUGAAAUGUGGGCACGAGGUGCCGGGAAAAAUAUGAUGUUUUUAUUAUUGGCACAUGAACUGUCCGUGCAGCUAUGAUAUGAAAAGUGGGCACGAGGUGCCGGGAAAAUAUGAUGAUUUAAUUAUGGGCACGAAGUGCCGUGAAAAUAUGAAAGUGGGUUGAGCCCCGCAUUUACGAAAAAUAUGAAAAAAAGGGCUAGGACACGCAUUUUUAUGAUUAUGAAAUGGGGUGUCACAUGGUGACUUUUAAUUGAAAGAAUUAUAUUCAAAAUAUUAUAUUUUAUAGAGAUUUAUUGAAAGAAUUAUAUUUGAAAGAUACUUAUUUGAGGAAAUUAUAUUUGAAAGAGAUUUGUUGAAAGAAUUAUAUUUGACAAGUUUUUAUUUGAGGAAAUUAUAUUUGAAAGAGAGUUAUUUGGAAGAAUUAUAUGUGAAAAAUAUUUAUUUGAAUUUAUUGAAAAGUAUUAUAUCCUGAAAAGUAUUAUUUGAGAAGCAUACAGACGAAAGAUUUAUAUUUGAAGGACUUGAUUGAAUUGAGUGUACUUGUAUUUAUUAUUUGUUGAGCAAUAUUAAUAGUGCUCUUGUUGCCUUGCUGUGCAUAUCACUGGUUGAUUUGUGUUGCCCUUAUUGUUACUUGUUUCCUAUUAUUUUUGUAUACUAUAUUGCACAGGUUAUUAGACUAGUGAGUGUCUCUGACUGUACCUCGUCACUACUCCACUGAGGUUAGUCUUGAUACUAACUGGGUACCGACUGUGGUGUACUCAUACUAUACUUCUACACAUUUUUUUUACAGAGCCAGGUAUUGGAGCUAUCGGACUCGGACAGAGUUAAAGUGUGAUCGCAAUGAUUCAAGGUAGAGCUGUUUGGUCGUCGUAGUCCCUUGAAGUCUUUUCAUUUUAUUGUACUGUUAAUUAUUAAUCAAACAGUAUUGAGUAUUCGAUCUUUGAGAUCAUUUCAUGUAUUCAUUAGAAUUCGUGACUCAGUAUUACCUGUCUUGGGAGGUUUUUCAUAGUUGUUUCCUCUGUUGUUUUUUGGCACCUGUAUUGAAUUCAAAAUAAAAUGGCUUGAAAUGUAAAUGUACUUAGCUUAUCUAGUCUCUUAGAGACUAAGUUUCAUCAUGAUGCCUGUGGUGGGAUUUUGGGUCAUGACAAGUUUGUAUCAGAGUUCUAGGUUCAUAGUUUCUAUUAGUCACGAAUGAGUCUUGCGGAUCAGUACGAGACGUCUGUACUUAUCUUCGAGAGGCUACAAAACUGUUAGGAAAUUUCACUUCUUUCAUUCCUGUCGUGCGGAAUUUGUUUAUUGGAAUUUGAGCAUUUGUAUAUCUAUUCUCUCACAAAUGGUGAGGACACGUGCUACUGGGUCAGCUAAGCAAACCCCCGCGCAUACUGCUAGAGCCGCAAGAGGCCGGGGCCGAGGUAGAAGCCGAGGUAGAGGUCGAGUAAGGGCACGUGUCACAGCUAGAGCACCGAUCAGAGUAACAAUUGAGGAGCCGCCAGUAGCUCCGGUCAGGGGACAGGCAGCAGAAGCAAAUGUUGUUACCCCAAGAUUUCAGGAGACUUUAGCACAGUUCAUAAACAUGUUUGGUAUAUUAACUCAAGCAGGGUUGAUCUCUGUUGCACCAAAUAUUUAACAGAUUGGGGGAGGAGCUCAGACUCCUACCGCCCGUACUCCGGAGCAGCAUGUCUACAUUGGUCAGGUUCUGGUGUGGUGCCUGUACAACCUAUUAUUCCGGUCAUGUAUGAGGUCAGGACAGAGACAUUAGAAGAAGAACAAAAGGGGCUUGAGAGGUUUAAGAGAUAUAGUCAACCUACUUUAGUGGCACAGCUGCCGGGGAUGCCCGGGAUUUCUAGAAAAUUGCCACUAUAUUUUUCGUACCAUGGGUAUUGUAGAAGGGAGUGGAGUUUCCUUUACUACAUUUUAGGUGUCAGGAGCAGCGUAUCAAUGGUGGCAAGUUUAUGAAGAGGAUAUAUUAGCCUAUGCAACACUACCAACUUUGACUCAAUUUUCGGAAAUGUUUUUGAAAGAAUUUGUUCCCCAAACUCUCCGGGAGGCAUGGCGCACAGAGUUUAAAUGGUUGUGUCAGUGCACCAUGACGGUGUCAGAAUAUGAUACCAGGUUCAGUGAGUUAGCCCGUCAUGCACCUAUCUUAGUUCCUACAAUUAGAGAGCGAGUUCGCAUAUUCAUUUAAGGGCUCGAUUAUGAUUUUAAAAUAUGUAUGGAUCGAGAGUUGAAGACUGACAUUCCAUUUCAGCAAGUAGUAGAGAUUACUAGGAUGUUAGAACGUGUUCGAAGUGAGGAGAAGGAGGCUAAGGAGGCCAAAAGGUCUCGGAAAUCUGGAGGAUUUAGUGGAUUCUACUUUGCAGCUAUGACUCAUCAUGGCGGAGGCUCGGUCAGUCGGUCAUCCCAAUCCGCAAUUCAGAAUACUCGUAGUACUUCAGUUAAUACUUUUAGUGUACCACCGGCACAUGGUUCUUACAGUGGUUAUUCCAGUAAUCCGGCAGAGAUUCAGCAUGAGCAGCCGCGCCCGCAGAGGGGUUGUUAUGAGAGUGGUGAUACUAGACACGUCAAGAGAAAUUGUCCCAGACUUGGAAGGGGUGGAUUUCAUCACAACACUCAGACUACAAGCUUUAUUCCAGUUAAUACUCUACGUGCAUAGCCACUUAGGGGUGGAGGACAGGCGGGUAGAGGGUGCCUAAGAGGUGGAGGCCCGACCCGUUGUUAUAAUUGCUAUGAAUUAGCUGAGGCCGAUACACUAGAUGGUGUAGUUACAAGUAUGAUUUAGUUUAUAAUAAAAAGGAGCACUAUUCUUAUUUUAAUUCGAUUUCAAUUAUUGAGGUGAGAACUUCUUUCAUGCUCCUUAUAUAUGGUGGAUUAGUGAAUUUAUACUCCACUCCCAUUUUUAACCCUGUUGGUAGAUUUGAAGAUGUUAGCCCAUGUCUGUCAUUUUUAUUUUGUACACUACUGAGGGCUAUAAGUCCAAAAGUGACUUUAUAUUACUCACUACAAUGGGUUUUGAUGUGAUUACGGAAUAAUUGAUCUCAAUUUUUUGAAUUAUAUGCCCUAUUUGUAUGAGGGUUCAUUAUGUGUUGUGAAUUUGUUUACGAAAUUUAUUGGAAAUAAGAAAUAAAUAAAAUUUAAAAUUUCAGUUGGCACAAUGUGCAAAAUACUUGUGAUUCGGAGUUGAGGACGAGAUCCUCGCAUUUUAAUAUGAGUUGCAGUAUUUAAACUGGGCUACGAGCUGUGGUGAAAGUUAUGUAAGGACGAGGUCCUUGUGGUGAAAAUUUUUAUGAGUUUAAAUUUUUCUUUUGUGAAACUAAAAUUUGUACUAUAGUAUUAAUAAGGAGUCAUGCCUGUUAGGCUUAUUUGAUAAUUCUUGUACAUCUUUGUGUGCAUAUUUAGCCAUAUCCGUGCGGUAAACAAUUAGUUUUAGCCUAUAAAGUGGGUGCCCAGGUGGCGUUACAUGUCACUCAUCAAUUCGGGUAAAUAAUUAUGAGGUAUUCAUGCCUCGCUUGUUGCUGUCAAUAUUAUGAAAAGUUGAAAUGAGUUUUUGGUUAAUAUGAAGUUAAUUGAUGAUGCUAGAAUUAAUUAUGAAUAACUAUUAUGAUCAGAGAUGUGGUUAUGGGCAUACGUAUAAUGUGUGUGUGGGCACGAAAUUUCUACAGCCGGUUGAGACUAACACAGUGUGUUAAUAUGAAAAAUCUGGCAUUUGAAAUUGAUUGGAGAGUAAGGAAUUGGCUUUAAACCUUAUAAGUAUGGAUAAAAGAAAUAAACUCAACUGAGAUGGUGUUGUAGGACACAUGUUAACUUGCAGGACGUAGAAUCACCCACGAGUAUGUGUAUAAGAAUACACUCAGUAAUUUAAUGUCCUCAGAAAGAUUCUUGGCACGUUCGAGGACAAACGUAUGUUUAAGAGGUGGAGAAUGUAAUGACCCGACUUGUCGUUUUAAGAAUUAAUGCCCUGUUCAGCGACUUAAUGUCUCGAGCAAUUUUGUAAUAUGUAUUAUGACUCGUGUGUGCGGUCGAGGUUUGUUUUUGGAAGGUUCGGAAUUAAAUUGAAAGAGAAAUCCUCAUUUUUUGAAGCUUAAAUGGAAAUAGUUGACAAGAGAGUUAACUUUUGAGCAAAUGACCCCGGAAUGGAAUUUUGAUGAUGUCAAUAGCUUUGUAUGGUGAUUUCAGACUUAGGCGUAUGUCUGGCUUUAUAUUUGGAAGUCCGUAGGAUAAUUCGACACAUUUUGGCGAUAGUUGGAAAAUAGAAGAAUUUUAAAAAGUUCGACCGAAGGUUGAAUUUUUGAUAACGAGGUUGGAUUUUGAUUCCGGAAAUUGGAAUAUCUCUAUUACGUCAUUUAUGACUCGUGUGAACAAAUUGAAGUCAUUCCGGAUUGAUGUGAUAUGUUUCGACGCGAAAUAUAGAAGUUGGAAGAUUUCAAAACUCAUAAUUUAUUUCGAUGUGCGAUUCCUAAUUUCGGCGUUGUUUGACGUGGUUUGAAGCCUCGACUAAGUUCUUAUUGUAUUUUGGGACAUGUUGGUAUAUUUGGUUAAGGUUCUGAGGGCCUCGGGUGAAUUCCUGAUGGCUAACAGAUCAAUUUGGACUUGAAAAAGACUGCUGGAAUUUUGAACUUGCUGGUGUGAUCACAUCUGCGGAAUCUUUAUUGAAGAAGCGACCUUGCAGAAGCAAGGAUUUCAUCGCAGAAGUGACCUGGGCAGAACUGGAGAAAGGUCUCAGAUGCGGACAAACUUCCGCACCUGCGCAAUUGCAGGUGCGAUGCCUUCUACGCAGAAGCGACGAGGCAGCGCAACAGCGGAAAUGUUGCGCACCUGGGAUAAUCGUAGAAGAAAAGGUUGCUCCGCGGGUGCAAUCUUUGUGGCUGGGCAGUGAUCAUCGCAGAAGCGCAUUUUGUCCCGCAAAAGCGAGACUGCAGAUGCGAAAUUCUUUCCGUAGAAGCGGUUCUGGACAGAAACAUUAAGGACCAAAAUUGGUCAUUUUGCCAUUUUCGAUUGAGAUUUUAGAGCUCGAUUUUUGGGCGAUUUUGGAGGAGUUCUUCAAUACUUUGACUUGGGCUAGUGUUCUAUAUCCGAAAGUGAUUAUAUUUCAUGAAUCUAUGGUUAUAUUCAUCGUUUAAUUCGAGUUUAAUGGAGAAAAUGGGAAUCUUUGUAAAAACUUUUCAAAAAUGGACAUUCAAGAUUUGGGGGACGAUUUGUUAUUGGAAUUUGAUAAAAUUGGUAUGGUUAAACUCGCGUCAGAAUGGGAGUUCGAAUUUCAUGAAAAUUAUGUCGAGUUCCUAGAGGCGGGCUCGCAUUGACUUUUGUUGACUUUUUAGGAUAAAUUUCUAAGUCGACAUUUUAUUAUCCGAAAUUGUUUCCGAUGAAUCUUAAUAAAGUAAUACAAUUAAUUUGGAUAGAUUUGAGCGGUCCGGAGGUCAAUUCAAGCAAGAAAGAGAUUUUGGAACAUCGACAUAACUUCAAAAAGGUAAGUGUUUUGCCUAACCUUGAGUGGGGAAAUUACCCCUUAGGCAUCGAGUCUUAUAUGCCAUUUGUGAAAUGUAAAAAGCCGUCUACGCGAGGUGACGAGUACGUACUCGGGCUAUAUGUGCAAAAUUUAUUGAGUUAAAGUCUUGGGCAUAUUAUGUAGUAAAUUGGAUAAUUUUUGAAUUUUAUUUAAUCAAUUGGUUGCCAUGCCUCAAUUCGCAUUUAUUGAAUUUGUUUUUAUAUGACGAAUUGAUAUGAAUGUUACCUGUAUAUUUAUGUGAAUUCUGUGAGUUUGAUGGUUUGAUAUUUCUGUAAUUUAAUUUUAUUAUGGAUUUUCCCUCUGCAAUUAAUUAAUUAAACGAGCUUAAGAAGAAGUGUUAAUAUAAUUAUCAAAAAUUGGAUUAAUGAAGGAGUUGUCCUAUGCUGAUUAUUUUCUAUCUCUGUUGAUUGUUUUUUAGGUUUUAUAUUGUCACGACCCAAAAAUCCUUUUCUGUCGUGAUGGCGCCUAUCUCAGUACUAGGCAAGCCGACAACAUCAAUAACCAGUGCAAGCUGCCAAUAUCUGGGCUAAAGUCUCCUUAAGGCCUGGAAUCUCAAUGGGCACAGCUGGUGCCUGAGCUGAUCCUGUCGGCUCAACUAUAUCUAGAAUCUACUCCUGAGUUGGAGCAACUGGUGGUACUACAGGUACUGGUCCAACUGUGAUACGAGCUACACCUCGACCUCUACCUCGACCCCGGCCUCUACCACGGCCUCAGCCUCUCGCGGCCCUAACUGGUGGCAUUGGUGGUUGACCGUCCGAUCCGGUAGUACGUGUCCUCACCAUCUGUGAGAGAAUAGAUUAACAGAAACUUAGUUUCCGGAAUCAACAAAUUCGCACGACGGAAUACAAGAAAGUGAAGUUUUCCUACGGUUUCUGCAGCCUCUUGAAUAUAAGUACAGACGUCUCUGUACCGAUUCACAAGACUCUACUAAACCUGCUCAUGACUCGUGAGACCUAUGUAACCUAAGCUCUGAUACCAACUUGUCAUNNNNNNNNNNNNNNNNNNNNNNNNNUAAUACAAUACCAAAAAUCUAGCAAUUUCCGAUACAACGAUCCUAAAACUUGGUGUCACUGAGUACAUGAGCAUCUAAUAUGAGUACAAGUCUGGAAAAUACGGUCUAUAAUAGUUUGAGACCAAAUACAGUAUACAAGGAUAUAGAGAAGGAGAGACAAGGUCUGCGGAACAUGGCAGCUACCUCAAAAUCUCUUGAAAAUCAACUGCGCGAAAUGAUCAACACCCUCUAUGUCCAGGAACACCUGGAUCUGCACACGAAGUGCAGGGUGUAGUAUGAGUACAACUAACUCAGCAAGUAACAAUAAUAGAUAAGGAACUGAAGAUAAUGACGAGCUAUACAGUUAUAGUUAACUUUCAGUAAUUCCAACAAAGAAUAGACAUGGGUUCGAAUCCGACAGUUUAAGUCAAAUAAAUUUUAUACAAUUCAAUUUCAAGUAAUUCGGAUAUAAAUUCUUUCAGAGAUUUUACAACAAUGGCAGAUAGCAACCAAGUGCAAUAACAAAUGCAAAGUAAGUACAGCCUCGCAGGCAACAGUCACUCAGCUCAUCACAACAGCUCAACUACUCGGCUCUCAGCCCUCAGCACUCACACUCAAUGGGUACCCGCACUCACUGGGGGUGUGUACAGACUCCGGAGGGGAUCCUACAGCCCAAGCGCCAUAAUCUGCAUGGACAACUCACGUGCUGCACGGACAACUCACGUGCUAUAAUAUCCUACACGGACAACUCACGUACCAUAAUAUCCUUACCUCACCGACAUGCCCUCGGCCUUACUCAAUCCUCAACCUCUCAAGUCUCUCGGGCUCUCAGAAAUCAUAAGAUCAGCCCAAACAAAGAUAACAUAGUAUAUCAACAAAUAUCCAGAAAGACUGAGGUAUAAUACGCAAGAAAAUCAUGACUGAGUACAAGACAAUAAUUAGCAAAUAAUUCAACAAGUAUGCGACCUCUGUGGGUCCCAACAGUACUAUCACAUAGCCUAAGCAUGAUUUUUAAUCAUGAUUUACAGUCAAAUUCUUUCAACACAAAGAGAACUUAUAGCUAACAACAGGUUAUUCAACUUUACAGUUUCACGGGACGGACCAAGUCACAAUCCCUUCGGUGCACUCCCACACGCCCGUCACCUAGCAUGUGCGUCACCUCCAAAAUAAUCACAUGACAUAAAAUCCGGGGUUUCAUACCCUCAGGACCAGAUUUAUAACUGUUACUUACCUCAACCUGUGUAAUUAUUUAUUCUGAUAUGCCCUUGCCACGAGAAUUGGUCUCUGAAAGCCUCGUAUCUAGCCACAAUUAAUUCGAAUCAGUCAAUACAAAUUAUUAUAAUUAAUUCCAUAAGGAAAUACUAAUUUUCCCAAUAAAAUCCGAAAUUAACUCAAAAAUUGCCCGUAGGGCCCACGUCUCGGAACUCGACAAAAGUUACAGAAUAAGAAUGCUCAUCCAACCACGAGUCCAACCAUAUAAAUUUCACCAGAAUUCUACACCAACUCGACCCUCAAAUCUUCAAUUAAAGUCUAUGAAGAUUUCUAUCAUUUUCAACCCAAUCCUUACCCAUUUCAACUUAACAAUCUUUCCACAACCUUAUUGGUAUAUAUACAUGAUAGUCUACACCCAAGAAUCAUACUAUUAAUCAUCCAUCUUUACUCCAAACCCGAUAUUGAAGAAUUAGGGAAAGAAAUUCUUACCUCUUUGAAGCCCUAGCAAGAUACUUGUGAAAUCUUCAAACCUUGAACAAGAAUUGAUGGAUAAAUGACUAAGUCUUCAAUUUCUCUCUCUAAAAUGCUCUCACCUCUCUCUAAAAUAUCAGAUUUUGGCUUAAAAAUGAGCUUCAAGGGCUAUAAAUCGAAGUUGGGUCGGGUCAAAAAUUAGAAAGAAUGGAAGCUCUAAUACAGUUAUGCGGUCGCAUAUGCGAUCGCAUAACAGGUAUGCGGUCCGCAUACCGGCCGCAUAAUUUAGCCUCCAAAGAUGGGCGUUACUGACCUGUUCUGCGGUCAUUAUGCGAUCCGCAUACUUGUUCUGCGGUCUCAUAAUGCACCGCAAAACAGGUCUGCGGUCGCAUAGUGCACCGCAGAUUAUCCUCAAAUCUUGCCCUCCUCCUGUUCCACUUUGCGACCAUUAUGCGGUCCGGAGAGUGAUUCUGCGACCGCAUAGUGGUCGUAGAAAUGGCCAUUUUCCAACAAAAAUUUCCUUUACACUUCGGUGCAUUGUUCAACCCAAAAAGUCCGAGCCGCGGUGAGCAAGCUCGCAAUGAGAAUUUUCUAUAAUCUUUGUAAUAAUUGAUCUACCUCGACACCACCAAAACUUAAUUUCCUUAGCAAAAUUUCUCUGAGGUCGUUACACAUAAGUUAGCAUUCGGUCAACCUUUUCAACUUAAUUUCUAAACCUUGGAACUAAGCGCUCUAAAUCAUUUCAAAACCUCACCGAACCCAAAUCAAUUACCCCGUCAAGCCAAAUAACAACUGUAAUUCACAAUUUAAGCAGUAAAUGGGGGAACGGGAUUGCAAUAGUCAAAACGAACGGCCGGGUCGUUAGAUUCUCCCCCUCUUAAACAAAUGUUCGUCCUCGAACGGGCUUAGAAUCAUACCUGGAGUCUCAAAUAGAUGUGGAUAUUUGCUCCGCAUCUCCUGCUCAAUCUCCCAAGUAGCUUCUCCGACUGGCUGGCCUCUCUACUGCACCUUCACCGAAGCUAUGUUCUUUGAUCUCAACUUUCGAACCUGCCGAUCUAAAAUAGUUACCGGCUCCAUAUCAUAAGUCAAAUUACCGUCUAGUUGCACUGUACUGAAAUCCAGAAUAUGAGACAGAUCCCCGACAUACUUUCGGAGCAUGGAUACGUGGAACACUGGAUGAACACCUGAUAGACUGGGUGGCAAGGCAAGUUCAUAAGCCACUUCUCCAAUUUUCUUAAGUAUCUCAAAAGGCCCAAUAUACCGAGGGCUCAACUUGCCCUUCUUUCCGAACCUCAACACACCCUUCAUGGGUGAAAUCUUAAGCAGAACCUUCUCCCCAACCAUGUGAACAACAUCACAAACCUUCCUGUCGGUAUAACUCUUCUGUCUAGACUGUGCUGUGCGAAGCCGUUCCUGAAUUACUUUAACCUUCUCUAAAGCAUCCUGAACCAAGUCAGUACCAAAUAGUCUAACCUCACCCAGCUCAAACCAACCCACCGGAGACCGACACUGUCUCCCAUAUAAAACUUCAUACGGAGCCAUCUGAAUGCUUGACUGGUAGCUAUUAUUGUAAGCAAACUCCGCGAGUGGCAGAAAUUGAUCCCAAGAACCCCCAAAAUCAAUGACACAAGCGCGUAGCAUAUCCUCCAAUAUAUGAAUAGUGCGCUCGGACUGUCCAUCCGUCUGAGGGUGAAAUGAUAUACUCUACUGAAUCUGUGUGUCCAAUUCUCGCUGCACUGCCCUCCAAAACUGUGAGGUAAACUGCGUACCCCGAUCUGAAAUAAUGGACACCGGCACGCCGUGUAGGCGAACAAUAUCGCGAAUAUAAAUCCUAGCCAACCGCUCCGAAGAAUAAUUAGUACCAACUGGAAUAAAAUGCGCAGAUUUGGUUAGCCGAUCUACAUUCACCAAAACAGCAUCAAACUUUCUCAAGGUCCAUGGGAGCCCAACUAUAAAGUCCAUGGUAAUACGCUCCCGUUUCCACUCCGAAAUUUCAUGUCUCUGUAGCAAUCCACCCGGUCUCUGAUGCACAUACUUUACCUGUUGACAAUUUAAACACCGAGACACAAACCCAACUAUAUCUUUCUUCAUCUGCCUCCACCAAUAGUGUUGUCUCAAAUCCUAAUACAUCUUUGCGACGCCUGGAUGAAUAGAGUACAGCGAACUGUGAGCUUCCUGGAGAAUCAGGUCACGCAAACCAUCUACAUUAGGCACACAUAGCCUGCCCUGCAUCCGUAAUACACCGUCAUCUCCAAUAGUGACUUCCUUGGCAUCACCUUGUUGAACCGUGUCCACAAGGACAAGCAGAUGUGGAUCAUCAUACUGGCGCUCUCUAAUGCGAUCAUAUAUAAAAGACUGAGAAACUACACAGGCCAAAACUCGAUUCGGCUCGAGAAACAUCCAAUCUAACAAACUGAUUAGCCAAGGUCUGAACAUCCAAGGCUAAAGGCCUCUCUUCUGCCGGUAAGUAUGCUAAGCUGCCCAAACACUCCGCCUUACGACUCAAGGCAUCGGCCACCACAUUGGCCUUUUUGGGAUGAUAAAGAAUGGUGAUAUUGUAAUCCUUUAGCAACUCUAACCACCUUCGCUGCCGCAAGUUAAGAUCAUUCUGUUUAAAUAAAUGUUGUAGACUCCGAUGAUCGGUAAACACCUCACACUGGACACCAUACAAGUAAUGCCGCCAAAUUUUCAAGGCAUGAACAAUAGCUGCUAACUCAAGAUCGUGGACUAGAUAAUUCUUCUCAUGUACCUUUAGCUGUCUGGACGCAUAGGCAAUCACCCUACCGUCUUGCAUCAGCACUGCACCGAGACCAAUACGCGACGCAUCACAAUACACAGUAUAAGACUCCGAACCUCUAGGCAACACCAAUACAGGAGCUGUAGUCAAAGCUGUCUUGAGCUUUUGAACGCUCUUUUCACAUUCAUCCAACCACCUGAAUUGAAUACCUUUCUCGGUCAAUUUAGUCAUAGGCGAUACAAUAGACGAGAAUCCUUCCAUGAAGCGACAAUAAUAACUGGCCAAGCCGAGAAGACUCUGAAUCUCAGUAACUGAAGAAGGCCUGGGCCAAUUCUAAACUACCUCUAUUUUCUUCGGAUCCAUCUUAAUUCCUUCACUGGACACUAUAUGUCCCAAGAAUGCCACCGAACUAAGCCAGAACUCGCACUUAGAGAAUUUAGCAUAAAGUCUCUCCUCUCUCAACCUCUAUAAUACAAUACCUAAGUGUCGUGCUUGCUCCUCCUGGUUACGUGAUACACCAGAAUAUCAUCAAUAAAUACUACAACAAAUAAAUCAAGAUAUGGCUGGAAUACACUAUUUACCAAAUGCAUAAAUAUUGUUGGGAAAUUGGUUAGCCCAAAAGACAUCACAAGAAAUUCAUAGUGACCAUAACGAGUUAUGAAUGUCGUAUUCAGAAUAUCCGAGUCCUGAAUCUUCAACUGGUGAUACCCAGACCUCAAAUCAAUUUUGGAGAACACCCUCGCUCCAUGAAGCUGGUCAAAUAAAUCAUCAAUUCGUGGCAAGGGAUAUUUAUUUAUGAUUGUAACUUUGUUCAACUGCCUAUAAUCGAUGCAUAUCCGUAUAGUACCAUCUUUCUUUUUCACAAACAGAACUGGUGCACCCCAAUGUGACAUGCUAGGCCUAAUAAACCCCUUUUCAAAGAGUCCCUGAAGUUGCUCUUUCAAUUCUUUUAACUCAGCUGGUGCCAUACGAUAUAGAGGAAUAGAAAUGGGUUGAGUGACAAGUCAAUACCAAAAUCGAUAUCCCUGUCGGGCGGCAUACCCGGCAGGUCUGUAGGAAAUACAUCAGGAAAAUCUCUUACUACAGGUACUGAAUCAAUAAGAAAUUACGUUGCUAGGAACAAAAUCUAGAGAACCUCUCCACUCAACCUUUGGCAACCCCGGCAUGGUCAACGUAAAGGUUUUUGCAUGACAGUCCAGAAUAGCAUGACAUGGAGACAACCAAUCCAUACCCAGGAUUACAUCGAAAUCGACCAUACUGAGUAAUAAAAGAUCAACCCUAGUCUCCAAUUCCCCAAUAGUUACCACACACGACCGAUACACACGGUCCACAGUAAUAAUUCAACCCACCGGUGUAGAUACACUAACAUGUGAAACUAAGGACGCACAUGGCAUAUCCAGAUAAUGAGCAAAAUAUGAUGAUACAUAUGAAUAAGUAGAACCAGGGUCAAAUAAUAAAGAAGCCUCCCUAUGGCACACUGAAACAAUACCUAUGAUCACUGCAUCUGAAGCAACAACAUCUGGCAUGGCAGGAAAAGCAUAGAAUCGGGCCUGACCGCCACAUGAUCGGCCUCCCACUCUUGGGCGACCCCUAGCUGCCUGACCCCCACCCCGAGCUGGUUGGGCGGGUGGUGUAACUGCUGGUGCUGGUACCGUUGGUCGAGAACUUUGCUGUGGAGCCCCACUCAACAUCCUACGACAAUCCCUCUUGUAAUGACCCAAUUCUCCGCACUCGAAACAACCCCUCCUCUGACAGAACUGCUGCUCCUGAUAACCCGAAGAAUUACCUGUAGAAGCCUGAGCGGACGAGUCCUGAUGAGAACCCUGCACUGGUAGUGCACUAAAUGAAGACUGGCCUGAAUGAGCACUAUAAAAACCGUGCUAGCUGAUGCACCAUGAUGAACUGGAUGACCCGCCUGAGCGUGUCUAUAAGAACGGCCCCUACCACGGUAAAACUUACCCCCUGAAGAAACACCGCUGAAGUCACCGGAACCACGAGGCCUCUUAGCCUCCCUUUCAACACGUUCCUGGCUGCGAACCAUCUCAAUCUGAUGAGCAAUGUCAACAACCUCGUCGAAAGUAGCACCAAACACUCUCUCUCUAGUCAUGAGUAAUUGCAGCUGAAAAGUGAGGCCAUCUAUGAACCUCCUAAUCCUUUCCUUGUCUGUAGGAAUCAAUCAGAUAGCAUGACGGGCCAAUUAUGAAAAUCUCAUUUCAUACUGCAUCACGGACAUAUCACCCUAACGAAGCUGCUCAAACUGCUUGCGCAGCUCCUCUAUGCAGGACUGAGGUACGAACUUCUCCAGGAAUAGACUGGAGAAUUGCUGCCAGGUAAGGAGUGUUGCACCGACUGACCUACACCUCUCGUAAGACUCCCACCAUCCGAAGGUAAUCCCAGAAAACUAAAAAGUAGUGAAUGAGACCCCACUGGUCUCCAAAAUACCCGUUGUCCGAAGCAUCCGCUGACACUUAUCCAGAAAACCCUGGGCAUCCUCUGACUCAGCACCGCUAAAAUAUGGAGGUCGAAGCCUCUCAAAUCUCUCAAGUCUCCUCUGCUCAUCAUCUGCCAUAACAGGAACUACCGGGGCCUGAGCAUUUGCAACUAGCUGGACUGGUAGUGCCCCCAGUAUCUGAAGUCCCUGUACUACCUAGUCUGGAGUACGGGCAACAGGGCUAUAAGUACCUCCCCCGGCCUGAGAAGCGGCAGGUGCGGCCUGAGCCAAAACCACCUGAGCCAGACCAGUGCAAGCUGCCAAUAUUUGGGCUAAAGUCUCCUUAAGUCUUGGAAUCUCAAUGGGCACAGCUGGAGCCUGAGCUGACCCUGUCGGCUCAACUAUAUUUGGAAUCUGCUCUUGAACUGGAGCAACUGGUGGUACUACAGGUGCUGGUCCAACUGUGGUAUGAGCUACACCUCGACCUCUACCUCGACCCCGGCCUCUACCACGGCCCCAGCCUCUCUCGGCCCUAACUGGUGGCACCGGUGGUUGACCAUCUGAUCUGGUAGUAUAUGUCCUCACCAUCUGUGACAGAAUAGAUUAACAAAAAUUUAGUUUCCGGAAUCAACAAAUUCGCACAACUGAAUACAAGAAAGUGAAGUUUUCUUAUGGUUUCUGCAGCUUCUCGAAGAUAGGUACAGACGUCUUCGUACCGAUCCGCAAGACUCUACUAAACCUGCUCAUGACUCGUGUGACCUAUGUAACCUAGGCUCUGAUACCAACUUGUUAUGACCCAAAAAUCCUAACCUGUCGUGAUGGCGCCUAUCUCAAUACUAGGCAAGCCGACAACAUCUAUAACCCACGAUUUCCUUUAAAUUUAAAAUCGUAACGUUUAAUACAAUACCAAAAAUCUAGCAAUUUCCGAUACAACACCCCCAAAACCUUGUGUUACUGAGUACAUGAGCAUCUAAUAUGAGUACAAGUCUAGAAAUUACGGUCUAUAAUAGUUUGAGACCAAAUACAGUAUACAAGGAUAUAGAAAAGAAGAGACAAGGUCUGCGGAACACGACAGCUAUCUCAAAAUCUCCUGAAAAUUAAUUACGCGAAAUGAUCAACACCCGCUAUGUCCGGGAACACCUGGAUCUGCACACGAAGUGCAGGGUGUAGUAUGAGUACAACCAACUCAGAAAGUAACAAUAAUAAAUAAGGAAUUGAAGAUAAUGAUGAGCUACACAGUUAUAGUUCACUUUCAGUAGUUCCAGCAAAGAAUAGACAUGCUUUCGAAUCUGGCAGUUUAAGUCAAAUAAAUUUUAUACAAUUCAAUUUCAAGUAAUUCGGAUAUAAAUUCUUUCAUAGAUUUCACAACAACGACAGAUAGAAACCAAGUGCAACAACAAAUGCAAAGCAAGUACAGCCUCUCGGGCAACAGUCACUCAGCUCAUCACAACAGCACAACCACUCAGCCCUCAGCACUCACACUCAAUGGGUACCCGUUCUCACUGGGGUGUGUACAGACUCCGAAGGGGCUCCUACAGCCCAAGCGCCAUAAUCUGUACGGACAACUCACGUGCUAUAAUCCUGCACGGACAACUCACGUGCCAUAAUAUCCUUACCUCACCGACAGGCCUUCGGCCUUACUCAGUUCUCAACCUCUCAAGUCUCUCGGGCUCUCGAAAAUCACAAGAUCAGCCCAAACAAAGAUAACAUAGUAUAUCAAUAAAUAUCCAGAAAGACUGAGGUAUAAUACGUAAGAAAAUCAUGACUGAGUACAAGACAAUAAUUAUCAAAUAAUUCAACAAGUACGCGACCUAUGUGGGUCCCAACAGUACUAUCACAUAGCCUAAGUAUGAUUUUUAAUCAUGAUUUACAGUCAAAUUUCUUCAACACAAAGAGAACUUAUAGCUAACUUUACAGCUUCACGGGACGGACCAAGUCACAAUCCCUUCGGUGCACGCCCACACGCCUGUCACCUAGCAUGUGCGUCACCUCCAAAAUAAUCACAUGACAUAAAAUUCGGGGUUUCAUACACUCAGGACCAGAUUUAUAACUGUUACUUACCUCAACCCGUAUAAUUAUUUAUUUUGAUAUUCCUUUGCCACGAGAAUUGGUCUCCGAAAGCCUUGUAUCUAGCCACAAUUAAUUCGAAUCAGUCAAUAUAAAUUAUUAUAAUUAAUUCCAUAAGAAAAUACUAAUUUUUCCAAUAAAAUCCGAAAUUAACUCAAACAUCACCCGUAGGGCCCACAUCUCGGUACCCGACAAAAGUUACAGAAUAAGAACGCUCAUCCAACCAUGAGUCCAACCAUACAAAUUUUACCAAAAUCCGACACUAACUCGACCCUCAAAUCUUCAAUUAAAGUCUAUGAAGAUUUCUACCAUUUUUAGCCCAAUCCUUACCCAUUUGAACCUAACAAUCUUUUCACAACCUUAUUAGUAUGUAUACAUGAUACUCUACACCCAAGAAUCAUACUAUUAAUUAUUCAUCUUUACUCCAAACCCGAAAUUAAAGAAUUAGGAAAAAGAAAUUCUUACCUAAUUUCCAUAUCCUUGUGAAAUCUUCAAAUCUUGAACAAGAAUUGAUGGAUAAAUGACUAAGUCUUCACUUUCUCUCUCUAAAAUGUUCUCACCCCUCUCUAAAAUAUCAGAUUUUGGCUCAAAAAUGAGCUUCAAGGGCUAUAAAUCGAAGUUGGGUCGGGUCAAAAAUUAAAAGGAAUGGAAGCUCCAACACAGUUAUGCGGUCACAUAUGUGAUCGCAUAACAGGUAUGCGGUUCGCAUGCCGGCCGCAUAAUUUGGCCUCCAAAGCUGGGCGUUACUGACUUGUUCUGCAGUCAUUAUGCGGUCCACAUACUUGUUCUGCGAUCGCAUAAUGCACCACAAAACAAGUAUGUGGUCACAUAGUGCAUCGUAGAUUUUCCUCAAAUCUUGCCCUCCUCCUGUUCCACUUUGCGACCAUUAUGCGGUCCGCAAAGUGAUUCUGCGACCGCAUAGUGGUCGCAGAAAUGAUAAUUUUCCGACAAAACUUUCCUUUACACUUCGGUGCAUUGUUCAACCCAAAAAGUUCGAUCCGCGGCGAGCUUAAUUGAUCUACCUCGGCACCACCAAAACUUAAUUUCCUUAGCAAAAUUUCUCCAUGGUCGUUACACAUAAGUUAUCAUCCGGUCAACCUUUUCAACUUAAAUUCUAAAUCUUGGAACUAAGCGCUCUAAAUCAUUUCAAAGCCUCACUGAACCCAAACCAAUUACCCCGGCAAGCCAAAUAACAACUGUAAUUCACAAAUUAAGCAGUAAAUGAGGGAACGGGAUUGCAAUAGUCAAAACGACCGGCCGGGUUAUUACGUAUAUAUAUUGUGUAGAAUCUUGGGNNNNNNNNNNNNNNNNNNNNNNUGAUAUCAAUUGAUUUUUGUUAUGUUGCCGUGAUAAUAUUCCGUAUAAAUUGUUGAGUUAUUAUUUUGAGGAUAUAAGGGUGACAUUCUACUGUUGAUAUUAUGUGGAUAUAAGGGUGUCAUUUCACUGUUGCUAUGUGUGUUGGGGUAUUGUCUGGGGGAAGUGAUAAGGGUGGCUAUAGGAGAGAUAAGGGUGGCAAUAGGAGCGAUAAGGGUGGUUAUUGAUAUUGUGAGGGCGGAGGGAUAAGGGAGGCUAUUAUAAGAAUGAUAAGGGUGGCUAUAGAAGACAUAAGGGUGGCUAUUGUCAGGGAUGAUAUAUGAUGAUGUGUAGUUAUUGUGUUGGUAAUUUUCAUGUGAUGUUGGGGUAUUCCUUGUGUUUAUUUUUAUAUCUUGUGCAACUUAUUUUGUUGUUUCGGUAAACUUGAUAAUAGUCUGAUUUAUGUUGAAAUUGUAAGUGUGUGGCUAUUGCCGGACAGGUAAUGUUAUAUGGGAUCAGGUUGCACGCCGCAACGGAUAUGAAAUGUGGGCACGAGGUGCCGAGAAAAAUAUGAUGGUUUUAUUAUUGGCACGUGAACUGUUCGUGCAGCUGUGAUAUGAAAAGUGGGCAUGAGGUGCCGAGGAAAUAUAAUAAUUUAAUUAUGGGCACGAAGUGCCGUGGAAAUAUGAAAGUGGGAUGAGACCCGUGUUUACAAAAAAUAUGAAAAAAAGGGCUGAGACGCGUAUUUUUAUGAUUAUGAAAUGGGGUGUCACAUGGUGACUUUUAAUUGAAAGAAUUAUAUUUAAAAUAUUAUAUUUGAAAGAGAUUUAUUGAAAGAAUUAUAUUUGAAAGAUACUUAUUUGAGGAAAAUAUAUUUGAAAGAGAUUUAUUGAAAGAAUUAUAUUUGAAAGAUAUUUAUUUGAGGAAAUUAUAUUUGAAAGAGAGUUAUUUGGAAGAAUUAUAUGUGAAAGAUAUUUAUUUGAAGGGAGUAUAUUCUAAAUAUAUUUGUUGAAAAGUAUUAUAUCCUAAAGAGUAUUAUUUGAGAAGCAUACAGACGAAAGAUUUAUAUUUGAAGGACUUGAUUUAAUUGGGUGUACUUGUAUUUAUUAUUUGUUGAGCAAUAUUAAUAGUGUUCUCGUUGCCUUGCUGUGCAUAUCACUGGUUGAUUUGUGUUGCCCUUAUUGUUAUUUGUUUCCUAUUAUUUUUGUAUAUUAUAUUGCACAGGUUAUUAGACUAGUGAGUGUCUCGAUUGUACCUCGUCACUACUCCACUGAGGUUAGUCUUGAUACUAACUGGGUACCGAUCGUGGUGUACUCAUACUACACUUCUGCACAUUUUUGUGCAGAGCCAUGUAUUGGAGCUAUCGGACUCAGGCAGAGUUAAAAUGUGAUCGCAAUGAUUCAAGGUAGAGCUGUUUGGUCGUCGCAGUCCCUUGAAGUCUUUUCAUUUUAUUGUAUUGUUAAUUAUUAAUCAAACAGUAUUGAGUAUUCGAUCCUUGAUAUCAUUUCAUGUAUUCAGUUAGAGUUCGUGACUCAGUAUUACCAGUCUUGGG
rnacentral:lncRNA from 1 species